rnacentral:lncRNA from 1 species
UUAUGUUAAAUGUAGACUUUGCAUCUUUUACCUUGGGUUGAUUCAGUCUCAAGAACAAUUUUGAUUUCCAGCUUAUCUCUACUUUUCUUUGAUUUCUCUUAUGUUACUAGUAGACAUUUCUUAUGAAAAAAGUAGUUGUGUCUUAUGUUAAAUGUAGACUUUGCAUCUUUUACCUUGGGUUGCUUCAAUCUCAAGAACAAUUUUGAUUUCCAGAAAGUCUAUUUUUCUUUCAUUUCGCUUAUGUUAAUGGUAAAGAUUCUAAUGAAAAUAGUAGAUGUGUCUUAUGUUAAAUGUUGACUUAGAAAUUUUAGCUUCGGUUUGUUCAACCUCAUUCACAAUUUUGAUUUCUAGAAAGUCUACUUUUCUUUGAUUUCGCUUAUGUUAAUGGUAGAGAUUUAUAAUGUCAGGACCCACCCCGAAUUUCACCUUGAAACCCAAGGUAAAUCCUGCGGGGUCUACCUUCAAGGAAAAUUUACCGAAAAUUCGGCAUAACCAUCCUUGAAAAUGGACAACCUUUUCCUGAAAAAUCCAACUUAACACUUCUAUAAUCAAACAUUCAUCCUCAUCUCCUGGAGCCUUCCUGCUCCCCAAGUUCAUCAAAACUCCCAAUAAUAAUUUCUCAUCUAAUAAAAUUCCACAACCAACAACAAAGACAUUUAAUAAGCUACUACUGGACUUUCAGAGCAUAUCUAAUGAUGAAUGAAAACAAUGAAAACGAAUAAGCGGAAGCAGCCUCUGACUAUGCCUCGACUCCAUGUACGCUCGUCCUCAAAUAACUUAGCCUGCAAACUGGGCAUUUAUAAACCAAAGGGCCCAGGGGAAAGUAAUUUAAAAACGUUAGAGUGAGUAGAAGAAAAUAAAUUCAAUAACUUAACAAUUAUAAAACUUAUAUACUUUCCCACUUUUCAACUUUUAAAACUUAACAGCAUGCAACUUAAACGUCCUUAAAACUUUAAAUCUAAAAUCACUUAAUAAAGGACAAACCAGCCCCGCUGGUUAAUCAAAUAUAUUAUUGAGAAGAAUAAAAUAGGGGAAGAGUUAUCACCAUGAAAAAGGAGCCUCCUAGGCUCAGGUUGAUGCCUCCCAGGCUAUAAUAGCGUCCUACGCUAAGCGCUCAACUCACAUAUGAUGAGGACCACUAUAUAAGGCUAUAAUAGCGUCCCACGCUAAGUGCUCAACUCACAUAUGAUGAGGACCGCAAAUAAGGGUAGCUAACUAAUAAAUAUAAAUACCGAUCGGUUGCCUCCCAGAUUAUAAUAGCGUCCCACGCUAAGCGCUCUACUCACAUAUGAAGAAGACCGCUAAUAAGGCUAUAAUAGCGACUCACAUAUGAUGAAGACCGCCAAUAAGGUUAGCUAGCAAUAAUCAAGAUAAACGACCCAAUAAUAUGGUGACUAAAACAUACGAAGUCACUUAAAUCCAUUAAACUUCCCCCAAGACCAAACGAAUGGUACGGUUCCCAACCGUACAUGAAAAUCAUCAGAAGAAAUCAGAACACAACUCAAUGACGUGUCUCACACGUCAAAAUAUUCUUCAAUUUAUAAAUAUAAGCGAGAUUUCAAUAACAAAUAUGAAUCAUAAAUAAUAGUAUCUUCGCUCGAAAAUACUCGCUAAAAUAUUCUCCAAGUCAAAAUCAUUAUGCCUCAAAUGAACAAUUAAAUUAUGAGAACAACUACCGACAAUCCCAUUUUCGGUAAUCAUUUAUAAAACUCAAAGUCAAGAUCGAUAUUCCACCAAUAAUUUCGAGAAUUAAAAAUAGGAAACUACCGAAAAUCCAAUUUUCGGAAAUCUUAUAUAAAUCUCAAAAUCCACCAUUAAAACCAUUUAAUGAAAUCCGGAAUUUAUAAAAAUAUCCAAACUCAAAUAUCAAAAUAAUAAUCCGCGCUCAACUCCAUAAAUCAUGACCAACACUUAAUAAAUGCACCAAACUCAAAUAAUUUUCAAGCUCAUCUCAUGAACUGAAAAAUUAUAUUAUAUGCUCGGAAAAUAAAAUGAUAGAUUAUAAAAUCUUGCAUGCAUAUUUAUUUUUAAAACCAAAAUGUCCACUCACAAAUUUAGGCAUGAGCCCGACGAUAACCGCAUCGCCACUCAAGCGAGGUUCCCUUCGCAUCUUGGCACAACAACCAUGCUUAUAACCAAACUUCAAUUCCAGAAAAUAAAUACGUGAAUUAAAAUAUUUAACUCUCCUCCGUUUAACCCUCUACUCUUAAUAGGGUUAAACUCGCCGGAUUCACACCAAACUCCACCACAACCUUAAUUCAUCAAUUCUAAUAUUCUAUAAUAAAUACCAAGGAAAUCCAACGGUCGGAUUUUCAUUCUAAUAACCGGCAUUUUCUCCAAUCUCUGAAAAAUUUCAAACCUAACCAAAAACUCAUCCAAAAAUUNNNNNNNNNNNNNNNNNNNNNNNNNNNNNNNNNNNNNNNNNNNNNNNNNNNNNNNNNNNNNNNNNNNNNNNNNNNNNNNNNNNNNNNNNNNNNNNNNNNNNNNNNNNNNNNNNNNNNNNNNNNNNNNNNNNNNNNNNNNNNNNNNNNNNNNNNNNNNNNNNNNNNNNNNNCUUGACCCGGUCCAAACUUAAAACACCCACAAAAUAAAGCCUACAAGAAUUUACCUUUUUUACCAAUAUAGUCAUUUUCGUUUUUAGACCAUAACUUCUUCAUACGAACUCCGUUUUAAGCGUGCCGCGUGUCCACAAACUCUGUUUAACGUCCUCUACAACUUUCAUGAAGAAAGUUUUCCCAAAUUCCAAACGGAAGAAAAAGUCAACUUUAGGAUCCUUAAGUAGUAAACGGUUACUCAACACGGAAAAAGACCAAAAUAACACCAAAGUAAAUAGCCGUAAAAUAACUUAAAAACCGGGGUGUGACAUAUAAUGAAAAUAGUAGAUGUGUCUUAUGUUAAAUGUAGAGUUACAAAUUUUACCUUGGGUUGAUUCAAUCUCAAGAACAAUUUUGAUUUCUAGAAAGUCUACUUUUCUAAUGAAAAUAGUAGAUGUGUCUUAUGUUAAAUGUGACUUUCGACUUGUAACAUUUUCUGUGAUAUUUUUCGUAACAGUAGUAGAUGUUUCUUAUGAUAGUUGUAGACAGUCUCAAGAAUCAUUUUGAUUUCCAGAAAGUCUACUUUUGUGUGAUUUUGCUCAUCUGAAUGGUAGAUAUUUCUAAUGAAAACUGUAGAUAUAGAGAGACUUAACGGAGAGUUAACGGUGUUAGUUUGCUUUAACCUGUUAUAACAAGUCAAAACUGGUUGGGUAUCCAUACCUUAAGGCACACAAGUGGCACCCAACAAACAAUUUGAAUUAUGUUCUAGGAUAUUCUGUAUCUUUCUAGAUAUUCUUUAUGUGUGCCUUGGCCUUAUGCCAAUAGGAUAUGUAGUUUGACUAGAUCUAUGUAUUCUUAUCCUUACCAUAUUGGUAUUGUGUAAUUCCUUAUAUAAAGCCUCUUAUCAAUGAAUAAUACACACAUCUUUCACGAUUCUCUAUUCUGAAAUAUCUCUCACUUCAUUAUGUUAUCAUGCACAUUGUUCUAACCCUAGAGCCAAUAGGCCACAAUUUGUUUUCUAAACCCUAAAAACAAUUUUUUUUUCUUUUCAAACCAAAAGUUCCCGGCCCUGCCUCGGUCCCUACACUGUCGUUGCUCCCAACCCGUCGCUUCCCAGCCGUCAGCUCCGCCUUCUUUUCUGGUUUCGCCGAUCAAGCUUUAGAUCAAGAAAUCCGAGUAGUUUGAAGAAAUUUUACGGUAUGUUUUAAAUCCUAAACUCUUCAAAGUUCAAUAAGGGGAGAUAAAGUGUUUUCUCCCUUUCUCCAUCUCCAUUCUAUGGUUGGGAUUUUGUGCGUGCAGGUACCAAAACCCCAGAAUUUUAUUCGCGGGUCAAGAGUAUGUUUGAUCACUCUUGCUUCCUUGUUCGGGUUCUAUAUGAUCAACCUCGACCUUUCUCCGGAUUGUGUUUGAUCAAUCCGAGCCCUUUGUCGAAUUGUGUUUGAUCAAUUAGCGGCUUUUCCGUAUUAUGUAUGAUCAAUCCGAAGGACAAACCAUUAAAAGCAUUGUUUGUGACCUCUAUCGAGUCUCAUAACAGCUUGGUUUUGUAUGCAAGAGCAACGUAACAUUCUGCUCCUUUAAGUUUUGACGUACUCGAUACCUAAGGCGAAUCUUUGCUUGGUAGCUGUGGAACCUUUCAUUGGAAAAGAUUAAACCACAUGUUUGACCCCCAGGCUAACAAGCCUAGAUGCCGAGAUUUCACAUCUCAUGCGCUCAAACUCUUUGACACGCCACAUCGACAAAAGCCUUCAAUGGCAAUCUGUACAAAAAGUAAUGACCACAAAGUACUGUGGAAUUGACACGACCCACCUCGAAUUUCACCCUGAAACCCGGAGUAAGUGGUGCGGGGACCACCUCCAAGAAAGAUAUUACCGAAAAAUCGGCAUAACCUCCCUUGAAAAUGGACAACCCUUCUUAAAGAAAACCUGCAAACACUUCCAAAAAUUUUAAUCCAACCUUAACUCCUGGAGCCUACGUGCUCCCCAAAUACAACUACCACCAACAACACAACAUUAUCCAAACAUCAAAUAUAAUUAUCCAAAAGAUAACAUAAAUCCUCCAACAAAUAUUCUAAGACGUCAACAAGUCUUCACCCACAACCGAAAUAAUACACAUUAAACCCAAGUAUUCAGAGCUACUAACACUAGCGGAAAAAGAAACCACAGGUAGGUUAAAUAGGUAACCUACUGAUGAAAAGUGGUGGAAAUGCGGGUGACUAUGCCUCGUCUCCUACUAGGUCCAACCCGAACUCUGCAGACUGGGCAUUUUAAAACGAAGGGCCUAGGGGAAACAUUUGAACACGUUAGAGUGAGUGGACAAAAAUAAAAUAAAUGAAAUAAUUCUUUAUGCUUUCCCAAUUUUAUUUUUCCAUAGAAAAAUAUGCUGCAUGCGACAGCUCAAAACACUCAACACGAAAACUGGAAAUUUCAUGACUAGCUCCGGCCAGUCUCUAACGCUCAAUAAAAUACAGCCUCUCAGGCUAAAAUAAAAUAUGUAUGUAUUACACUCGUCAUAUCCCUUGUAUGAAUUUUCUUGAAACAACAAAAACAAAUAGAAAAUUCACACAAGGCUACGACGCUUGCGUCUAACGCUCACGUCGCACCAUAAUGGCAUUUUACCUCAUUAUGGUGGAAAGACGGUGUAUAAAUAUACGCGCAUAUCCCCUAUAUAAAUUAUUAUUUUUAUAUAGGGCUACGAUGAUUGCGUCUAACGCUCACGUCGCACCAAAAUGGAAUUUUACCUCAGUAUGGUGGAAAAGCACGUAUAGCUAGCUAGCAUUCUCUCAUAUACAUAUUAUUCUCAUAAUCAUCCACAUAUGGAUAUAUAUAUAUAUAUAUACUCACCGAAAUUUUCAAUUUCGGUUAUUCUCCAACAACAUAAAUUAUUUCGCAUGCACAUUAUUUAAAACAAAAGUCCACUCACAAAUUAGGCCUAAGCCUGAUGUCGAUCUGGGGCCUCGUCAGCUCGAGCCUCCUCACGACCUGUUCCAAAUAUAAUAUUAAGUUCCCAAUUAACAAUCCAAUAAUUAAUCAAAAUAGGCAAAAUUACCCGAGAGCCAUAAACACGCUCAUCAUUACCUAACUUCGAUAUUCUUGAAUCGGAACGAUCCGAACUUAAAUAUCAUCCUCGACAGUCGUAAAUAUAACCUCCCAAAAAUACGACUUAAAUCUUACGGCCGGAUUCUACAUUAAUUAACCGCCAAAAAUACCAAACUUCGGAAAUUCACAAACCUAUCCAAAUCUCAUCCAAAAAUUCCAUAAAUCACCUCAAUAUAAUCCCCUUAAUAUUCCACAUUUAAAACCCUAAAAAUCUCCCAAACCGGCAGCGGCUCCGCAGGCAGCGGCGGUCGGAGGCUAAAAUCAGCGACCUCCAAUUCCUAUGAAAUUUUAACAGCAUCUUACUCUCAUCAUGCUCUACAACUUUCCUAACUAGCACAAACCCAAAAUCCAAGCCUAGCUAUGCCAAUCGAACAAAAACAUCAAAAACGCCCUAGAGCUUCCACCUCAAAUUUCUCCUUACCUGAAGCAAACCGGAGUGAGUCCUUUUAGGGCAAGGCAGCUGGGUUGGAGACCUACAAAACCAUACCAAGCUUGCCCGGAUUGGUGGCCCGAGGAGGGAAUUCCGGCGAAAAGCUUCCCGGCGUCUCCGGCGAGUUUUCUCUUCUUCCAGCGGGCUAACGGCUCGGGGGCUAGGUCGGGGAGGGAGAGGAGGAGAUCGGGGUCCGAACUGGGGUGGAGCGGCGGCCGGUGGCUGGCCGGACGGCGGCAGACGGCGGCUGGACGAUCCGGCGGGGAGGAAGACUCGGGGGGGGGGCGCUGAAGGGAAAAACGGGAGAGAAGGGAGGGAAAAGGGUUGGGCCUCUCCAACCGGUCCACUCCCCAUUAUACCCAACUCCCACAAAAAUAAAACACCCCGAAAAAUAAUACCCGAAUAAAAAUUACCUUUUACUAGCUAAAAUUUACUAUUUUUACCGUCGUCGUAUUUUCCUCAUACGAAUAAUCCUCCGCACAUAAUCGUCCCCGAAACCCCUCUAGGGACCAAUUAAACUAUUAACUAAAUGAUCGAGACGGUAAAAUUCUUAUUAUAAUCAUGCUAGUAAAUAAGGUAAAAAUAUAAGGGUCGGGAUGUGACAGGAAUGUACUCUACUUGUUGACACGACCCACCCCGAAUUUCACCCUGAAACCCGGAGUAAGUCGUGCGGGGACCACCUCUAAGGAAAAUUUACUGAAAAGAUUAAGAAAAUCUCCCUUGCAGAUGGACAACCCUAACUCGAAAAUUCCAAAUUACACUCUUAAUUCAACACGUCCAAACAUCACAUAAUUAUCCUUCAGAAAUUCUACGCAUAAUAUACAAUAAUCCCAAAGUAUUCAGAGCUACUAAACACUAGCGGAAGCAAGAAAACACGAGUAGGUUGAACAGGUAACCUACUGACGAAAACUGGCAGAAAUGCGGGUGACUAUGCCUCGCCUCCUACUAGAUCCAACCCGAACUCUGCAGACUGGGCAAUUUAAAACGAAGGGCCCAGGGGAAAACAUUUAAUAACGUUAGAGUGAGUGGACAAAAAUAAAAUAAUAAAUAAAAUAUUUAUGUUUCCCCAAAUUAAUUUCUAAGGAAAAAUCGAAUGCAUGCCGCAAGCGAUAAAACUUUUAUCUCAUAAAAUAUUGAGCCUCUCAGACUCUAUAAUAUAUGUAUGUAUUUACACUCGUCCAUACUCCCUAUAUAAAUUCAUGGGUCUAUAUAGGGCUACUACGCUCGCGUCCAACGCUCACGUCACGCCUUAAUGCGGUGCUACACUACGCCAUCAAGGUGGACAGACGGGUGUAUAAAUAUGUGUCCAUACCCCUAUAUGAAUUAAACACACAAAUAGGGCUACUACGCUCACGUCCAACGCUCACGUCACACCAUAAUGCGGCUAUAUGCUACGCCAUUAAGGUGGACAGACACAUAUGGCUAGCUAACAUUUAUAUACAUACUCUCUCAUAAAUACAUAUUUAUAUCCACCGAAAAUCCCAUUUUCGGUAACUCUCCAAGAGAAAUAAAAAUCGUCAAAUUAAAAUGACAUUAAAAUAUUCUGCAACAUUAAUUGUUCAACCAUGAACUAUAGCAUGCAUUUAUAUAAAAUAAAUGUCCACUCACAAAUUAGGCCUAAGCCUGAUGUCGAUCUGGGGCCUCGUCUGCUCGAGCCUCCUCACGUCCUGUUCCAAAUAUAAUAUUAAUUUCCCAACCAAUAAUCCAAUAUUUAAUCAAAAUAGGCAAAAUUACCCGAGAGCCAUAAAUACGCUCAUCAUUGCCUAACUUCAAUAUUCUUAAAUCGGAACGAUCCGAACUUAAAUAUCAUCCUCAACAGUCGUAAAUACAACCUCCCCAAAAUACGACUUAAAUCCUACGGCCGGAUUUUACAUUAAUUAACCGCCAAAAAUACUAAACUUCGGAAAUUCACAAACCUAUCCAAAUCUCCUCCAAAAAUUCCAUAAAUCACAUCAAUAUACUCCUCUUAAUAUUCCACACUUAAUACCCUAAAAAUCUCUUAACCGGCGGCGGCGCCGCCGGCGGCUCCGCCGGCAGCGGCGGCCGGAGUCCAAUUCCGGCCACCUCCAAAACCUAUGAAAUUUUGACAGAAUAAUCUCCUCAUCAUGCUCUACAACUUUCUUAACCAGUACAUUACCCAAUUCCAAGCCUAACUAGGCUAAUCGAACGAAAACAUCCUAAAAGCCCUAGAAAAUUCAACUCCACAUUUCUCCUUACCUAGCUCAAGAGGGAGUGAGCUGAUUGGAGGGGUUGCUGCACGGGAGGAGGGCUACAAAACGAGCCAGGGAUCGCCGGUUUUGGUGGCCAGAGGAGGGAGUUCCGACGGCCGGAAGUUCGGGGCAGCCUAGCCUUUCGGGCGGCACCGCUCUCUCACGGCGGCGCUAGGGGGGCUGUCACCGGUCCUGGAAGAUAGCUGGGUCGGAGGGCAACCGAACGGGACCGGAGCGGCGGCAGAUGGUGGCCGGACGGCGGCGUACGGACGGCGAGAAGUUUCCAGCGGGGGAGAGGCUCGGGAGGAAAACGGGAAGAAGAGAGGAAGAAAAAGAAAAAGUGAGGGUUGGGUUUGGGCCUGACCAACCAGGUCCAUCACCUAUAUAACAACCCAAUUCCAAAAAUAAAACACCCCGAAAAAUAACACCCGAAUAAAAAUUACCUUUUACUAGCUAAAAUUUACCAUUUUUACCGUCGUCGAAAUUUUCUUUUACGAAUAAUCCUCCGCACAUAAUCGUCCCCGAAACCCUUCUAGGGACCAAUUAAAUUAUUAACUCAAUGACGGAGACGGUAAAAUUCUUAUUAUAAUCAGGCUAGUAAAUAAGGUAAAAAUAUAAGGGUCGGGAUGUGACAAUUCUCCCCUCCUUAUAAAAAUUUCGUCCUCGAAAUUUACAUACCUGUCAUUCGAAGAGAUAGGGAUAUUGCUGCAUCAUUUGCUCCUCCGAUUCCAAAGUAGCUUCUUUUACUUGAUGACUUCUCCAAAGCACCUUGACAAGUGGGAUUGUCUUAUUCCUAAGCACUUGCUCCUUUCGGUCGAGAAUCUGAACCGGUUCCUCUUCAUAGGUCAAAUCUCUCAUCAAACUGAUCGGCUGCUCUUGCAGCACAUGAGAAGGAUCGGCAAUAUACUUGCAAAGCAUGGAUACAUGAAACACAUUAUGUAUCCUAGCUAACUCUGGAGGCAAAAGUAGCCGGUAAGCAAGUGAGCCAACUCGCUCAAUAAUCUCAUAAGGGCCAAUAUACCUCGGACUGAGCUUCCCACGCUUACCGAAACGCACAACCCCUUUCCAAGGAGAUAAUUUCAGGAACACCUAAUCACCCACUUGAAAUUCAAGAUCUCUCCUACGGACAUCCGCAUAACUCUUCUGCCUACUUUGAGCAGUCUUGAGUCUAUCUCUAACCACUUUAAUCUUCUCAUUCGUACAUNNNNNNNNNNNNNNNNNNNNNNNNNNNNNNNNNNNNNNNNNNNNNNNNNNNNNNNNNNNNNNNNNNNNNNNNNNNNNNNNNNNNNNNNNNNNNNNNNNNNNNNNNNNNNNNNNNNNNNNNNNNNNNNNNNNNNNNNNNNNNNNNNNNNNNNNNNNNNNNNNNNNNNNNNNNNNNNNNNNNNNNNNNNNNNNNNNNNNNNNNNNNNNNNNNNNNNNNNNNNNNNNNNNNNNNNNNNNNNNNNNNNNNNNNNNNNNNNNNNNNNNNNNNNNNNNNNNNNNNNNNNNNNNNNNNNNNNNNNNNNNNNNNNNNNNNNNNNNNNNNNNNNNNNNNNNNNNNNNNNNNNNNNNNNNNNNNNNNNNNNNNNNNNNNNNNNNNNNNNNNNNNNNNNNNNNNNNNNNNNNNNNNNNNNNNNNNNNNNNNNNNNNNNNNNNNNNNNNNNNNNNNNNNNNNNNNNNNNNNNNNNNNNNNNNNNNNNNNNNNNNNNNNNNNNNNNNNNNNNNNNNNNNNNNNNNNNNNNNNNNNNNNNNNNNNNNNNNNNNNNNNNNNNNNNNNNNNNNNNNNNNNNNNNNNNNNNNNNNNNNNNNNNNNNNNNNNNNNNNNNNNNNNNNNNNNNNNNNNNNNNNNNNNNNNNNNNNNNNNNNNNNNNNNNNNNNNNNNNNNNNNNNNNNNNNNNNNNNNNNNNNNNNNNNNNNNNNNNNNNNNNNUUUUAUCCCAACUCCCUCUGAACUGCAUGGCACAAGCCCUCAACAUAUCCUCCAAAGUCUGAAUAGUCCUCUCGGACUGCCCAUCAGUCUGAGGAUGAAAAGCAGUGCUGAAGAGUAAUUGGGUACCUAAAGCUGCCUGAAGAGCUCCCCAGAAUUUAGAAGCAAAUCGAGGAUCCCGAUCUGACACUAUUGAUUCAGGAACACCAUGAAGCCUCACAAUUUCAUUCACAUAAAGCUCCGCCAAUGUAUCCAAUUUAUACUUUUUCCCACUGGCAAGAAAUGUGCAGAUUUGGUGAGUCUAUCCACAAUCACCCAAAUACCGUCAUGCCCUUCACGGGUAUGAGGUAAACUAAAAACAAAAUCCAUGUUGAUGUGGUCCCACUUCCACACUGGAAUAGGCAACGGCUCAAGCAACCCAGAAGGCUUCUGCCUUUCAGCCUUGACUUGUUGAAAAAUCAGACAUCUACUCACAUAAGCUGCAAUUUCCCUCUUCAUGUUUGGCCACCAAUAAUAAUCCUUCAAAAUCCGAUACAUUUUUGUGCUACCCGGAUGAGCAGCAUAUGCAGAGCUAUGAGCUUCCUCCAUAAUCUCACUUCAACUCUUCAUUUCUUUUUGGAACACAUAGCCGGUUCUUAAACAAUAGAGUCCCAUCUCUUCUAACUGAAAAAAAGAUCGGCUGCGGCUCCAUUCGAAGCUCUUUCCAUCAAUCGAACUAUGGAAGGAUCAUUAUACUGUGCUUCCCGCACUCUAUCAACCAAAACUGGCCUCACAUGAAAACUGGCUAUCAAAGCACCUACCUCAUCCACUGAUAAAUCCACUCCUGUAGCUCGCAACUCACAAAGAAGCGGAACAUGAACCAUCUUUAUAUGAGAUAAAGAUAUGGAGGGAUUUCGAUUAAGAGCAUCAGCUACCACAUUAGUUUUUCCAAGAUGAUACUCAAUAGUGCAAUCAUAAUCAUUGAUUAACUCCAUCCACCUUCUUUGUCUCAUAUUAAGCUCUCUUUGAGUGAACACAUACCGAAGACUCUUGUGAUCGGUAAAUAUCUGACACUUGGCUCCAUAAAGAUAGUGUCUCCACAACUUGAGAGCAAAAACUACCGCUGCAAGCUCCAGAUCAUGAGUAGGAUAAUUCCCCUCAUGCGGCUUCAAUUGCCUAGAAGCGUAGGCAAUUACUCGAUCAUGCUGCAUCAAAACUCCACCUAGACCACGUCUAUAAGCAUCACAAAAAACCACAUACUCUCCACUAUCAUCCGGAAGUGCCAAAACAGGAGCACUUGUUAAGCAAUUCUUCAAUUCUUGGAAACUUUGCUCACAUUGAUCUGACCAUUCAAACUUAACCCCCUUCCUGGUCAAUCUUGUGAGAGGAGCAGCAAUAUAUGAAAAAUCUUUCACAAAGCGCCGAUAAUAACCUGCUAAUCCCAAAAAACUACGAAUCUCCGUCACAGUGGUGGGUCUUCUCCAAUUCGACACUGCUUCCACCUUUUGGGGAUCCACACUAACUCCUUCUGCGGAAAUCACAUGACCCAAGAAUCCCACUUUAUCUAGCCAAAACUCACACUUGCUAAACUUAGCAAAUAACUGCGACUUUUCCAAAGUCCGCAAUAUUAUUCUUAGAUGCUUGGCAUGCUCCUUCUCACUUCUUGAGUAAACCAAUAUGUCAUCUAUGAAUACGAUCACGAAACGAUUAAGGUAUGGACUAAACACCCUAUUCAUGAGAUCCGUGAACGCCGCGGGUGCAUUAAUAAGUCCAAAUGGCAUCACGACAAACUCAUAAUGACCAUAUCGUGACCGAAAAGCAGUCUUGGCUAUGUCCCCCUCUCGGAUCCGCAACUGAUGAUAACCCGAUCUCAAAUCAAUCUUAGAGAAAACAGAGGCACCCCUCAACUGAUCAAACAAAUCAUCGAUCCGAGGCAACGGAUAUAUAUUCUUCACUGUGACCUGAUUCAACUUCCUAUAAUCAAUGCAUAGUCUCAUGGUGCCCUCUUUCUUCUUAUCAAACAACACCGGAGCACCCCAUGGAGACAUGCUAGGCCGAAUAAAACCCUUAUCUACCAACUCCUGCAAUUGAGUCUUCAACUCUUUCAAUUCCGCUGGAGCCAUUCUGUAAGGCGCCUGAGAGAUAGGCAUAGUUCCGGGAAGUAAUUCUAUAGAGAAGUCUAUCUCCCUUGCAGGAGGCAAACCAGGCAACUCCUCAGGAAAAACAUUCGGAAACUCUCCUACUUCUGGAAUAUCUUCUAAUCCCACAACUCCCAUACUUGUAUCCACCACAUGAGCUAAAAAUGCCUGACAGCCUUUACUCAACAAUUUCCUUGCAGCAACAGCGGAAAUUAUGCAACUAGAAAUAACAUCUCUUUCCCCUUGGAAAGCAACCUCAAAACCAUCUCGACUUCGAAGCACCACUACUUUUUGAAAACAAUCUACCAUAGCUCUAUAUGCUUCCAAAAAGUCCAUUCCCAAGAUCACAUCAAACUCCACUAUAUCUAAAGGAAUUAAAUCAGCCUCGAAAUUAACUCCUUCCACUAAAACUUCACAGCCACUAAAUACCCAAUUUAUUCUCAUCACCUCACCGGAGGGUAGAGACACAUGCCACUCGCCUGGAAGAGACGAUGAUGGUACAUUGGCAUGGAGGGCAAAUCUACUAGACAUGAAUGAAUGCGUGGCUCCGGGAUCAAUUAAAGUAAAACCAGGCUGACCAAAAAUUAAUAACGUACCAAUGAUGACAUCUGGAGAAGUACGACCCUCCUGCUGGGUCAUAGCAUGCAGUCUAGCGUGAGUCAUGGGACGUCCACGCUGACCACUUCCCCGCUGAGAGCCACCUCUAACCGAAACACUGCCCUGGGCACCACUACUAGAGCCUCCAGCUGAAGACUGACCAACUGGCUGAGUAGGGGUGGGAGUGGUCCUCUGAGCCAACAAUGGGCAAUCUCUCCUGAAGUGGUCCUGACCACCACACUCAAAGCACCCAGAAAACUGCUGCUGCUACCCAUAUGAAAAAGUCUGGCUACCGGAUGACCCACCAUGGAAACUGCCACCCGAACCAUACUGCCCAGACUGCUGCCUACCCAACUUACUCCUAGUAGGUCUCCUGUGACGUCCUCUAACCCUGAACCGAGAAUUAGAACCUGAUCCCCCACUACUGCCACUACCAGCUGAUGAACCUGAAGCGGAUGAUGAAGCAGCUUUCUUGGAUGGACCCUGACUGGGGCCACCGAAAUCUCAUGGCCGAGCACUAUAAAUCCCCAUAGACUCAAUGGCCAUGGCUGCAUGAACAGCGUCAGAGAAAGUCGGGUAAUAAACACCCGUCAUUUUAUCUGCAAACACUCCACCAAGUGCCCCAAUGAACAUCUUCAUCCUGGUCCUCUCAUCAGGAACCAGAUAUGACACAUGAUAGCUCAGGGAAGUGAAUCUCUCCUGGAACUCUAUAACACCCUCAUCAUCCCUCUUCUUCAUAUUCAGGAAAUCCGACUGAAUUCUGCUGCGGUGGGCAGGACUGAAAUAUUGCCCCAAGAAAAGCGUCUUAAACUGCUCCCACGACAUAUUCAGAGCAUCCUCAACAUUCCUGCUAGCGAGCGACCACUAGUGAUGUCGCUGAAUCAUCCAGGAAAGUCACUGCCAUCUUCUUCAUAUUCAGGAAAUCCGACUGAAUUCUGCUGCGGUGGGCAGGACUGAAAUACUGUCCCAAGAAAAGCGUCUUAAACUGCUCCCACGACAUAUUCAGAGCAUCCUCAACAUUCCUGCUAGCGAGCGACCACUAGUGAUGUGCUGAAUCAUCCAGGAAAGUCACUGCCAUCUUCACCUUCCUUUCUUCUGGCAAAUCUGUGCUCGCAAAAGCCUUUUUCAUUUUGUCCACCCAAGUAUAAGCAUCAAGGGGUCCCAUGGCACCCUUGAACUCUCUUGCUCCAGCCUCAUAAACUUCUCUCCUCUUCACUGCAUGAGGGUGUGGAGCUCGAUCUAUGACAUCCCUCAGCAUAUUUCCAAUAUCAUCAACCAGUCCCCUGACCUCAUUGCCCUCAUCGGCAUUGGUCGAAGUAGCCACACGGGGUUGCCGUGGGCGCCUAGGAGGCAUAGUACCUGAGGAAGAAGAAAUUUAGUAGUCCAUAAACAAGACUAACACAACAAUCACAUAUACCCAAUAACACAUAGCAUCAAAAGCAUAAAAUGCCAAUGAAUCCGCCGCGGUCGGAUCAUCACUCUAUAGACACUACGUGCUACUUAGGCAAAUAUGAUAGUGACAAGGAAGCCGGAAAAGGAAACCUAUAGCUCUGAUACCAACUGACACGACCCACCCCGAAUUUCACCCUGAAACCCGGAGUAAGUCUUGCGGGGACCACCUCCAAGAAAAAUUUACUGAAAAGAUUAAGAAAAUCUCCCUUGUAGAUGGACAACCCUAACUCGAAAAUUCCAAAUUGCCUAACUUCGAUAUUCUUAAAUCGGAACGAUCCGAACUUAAAUAUCAUACUUAACAGUCGUAAAUACAACCUCCCCAAAAUACGACUUAAAUCCUACGGCCGGAUUCUACAUUAAUUAACCGCCAAAAAUACCAAACUUCGGAAAUUCACAAACCUAUCCAAAUCUCAUCCAAAAAUUCCAUAAAUCACAUCAAUAUACUCCUCUUAAUAUUCCACACUUAAUACCCUAAAAAUCUCUUAACCGGCGGCGGCGCCGCCAGCGGCUCCGCGGGCAACGGCGGCCGGAGGCCAAUUCCGGCGACCUCCAAAACCUAUGAAAUUUUGACAGAAUAAUCUCCUCAUCAUGCUCUACAACUUUCUUAACGAGCACAUUACCCAAUUCCAAGCCUAACUAGGCUAAUCGAACGAAGACAUCCUAAAAGCCCUAGAAAAUUCAACUCCACAUUUCUCCUUACUUAGCUCAAGAGGGAGUGAGCUGAUUGGAGGGGUUGCUGCACGGGAGGAGGGCUACAAAAACGAGCCAAGGAUCGCUGGUUUUGGUGGCCGGGGGAGGGAGUUCCGACGGCCGGAAGUUCGGGGCAGCCUUGCCUUUCGGGCGGCACCGCUCUCUCACGGCGGCGCUAGGGUGGCUGUCACCGGUCCUGGAAGAUAGCUGGGUCGAAGGGCAACCGAACGGGACCGGAGCGGCGGCAGAUGGUGGCCGGACGGCGGCGUACGGACGGCGAGAAGUUUCCGACGGAGGAGAGGCUCGGGAGGAAACCGGGAAGAAGAGAGGAAGAAAAAGAAACAGUGAGGGCUGGGUUUGGGCCUGACCAACCCGGUCCAUCACCUAUAUAACAACCCAAUUCCAAAAAUAAAACACCCCGAAAAAUAACACCCGAAUAAAAAUUACCUUUUACUAGCUAAAAUUUACCAUUUUUACCGUCGUCGAAAUUUUCUCUUACGAAUAAUCCUCCGCACAUAAACGUCCCCGAAACCCUUCUAGGGACCAAUUAAACUAUUAACUCAAUGACGGAGACGGUAAAAUUCUUAUUAUAAUCAGGCUAGUAAAUAAGGUAAAAAUAUAAGGGUCGGGAUGUGACACUUGUUGAGUUAUUAGUCAUGUGGAUUGCUUACCACCUUAAUUGACUACAUAUUGUCGAUGAACUUUUAUGGCAUCAUGAUCCAUAAUUUUUAGCGGAUUCGAUCAUCAUCAAGUUCUCUAGGUCCUCCAAGUUGGUUUGGAAUUACCAACGGGACUUGAUUUUUAUCAUACAAUUGCAAACAGGAAUUGUAUAUACGCUAAUGUGAUAAACAUAUUUGACAUUAUCCCCUAAUAUGGGGACAACAAUAUGGGUCAUGUCAACGGCAUAAAAUGCCAUGCCGAUGUCUAGAAAAGAGGGGGAGGUGUCGCCGGCCCUAAUGGCGACACUCCCGGUCUAGACAUCAAUCUGUCAAAACUACUCACGUCCGCUUAUGACAAUGCAACCAUUGUGGAUCUCCGGAUCGUUGGUUGAAGAGUUAUCGAGCUAUCCUUCAAAUUGUUAAUGCAUACAAAAGGGUACAGAAAAUCAAUAUGAGGAGAAGAACGUCAUCCUCAUGAUCGCGGAUUUCAAAGAUUCGGAUCCUGCUCUAGCUACCCAUGACUUUGACGUCAUUGGCUAGACAUUGAUUUUCUUUCCAAGCUAUAUGUAAUACAGCGUCGUAUCGACGUCCUUCGUCUAUUUGAGACCUCGAUGUACUCACAUUAGCAAUAAUGAAUGCCUUGAGAAUUUUUUUUUCGAAGUGAAACUAUUCUCCUCUUAUGGUUCGUAUUGAUUUACAAAAAAUAUAUACAUUCUUACAUCGUCCUUAGAAACAUGGCAUAUUGUGCCAUUUUGGUCCCUUCCUUUGAAGGUGACUCAUGGCACCGCAUCCUCAAGGAGGAUCGCCCACGUGUUUCCGGUUGAGUCUUCUACCCUAUAGCGGAUUUUCCAUCAUCAAUUGUUCAACUAGGCUCAUCUAAGUUCAGUGUGAUGUCUUAGAAUUGUCCGAAAUUAAGAAGAUAGUGGUUUAAGUGUGCCUCGCACUACCGACCCUCUACGGACAAGCCUGGUCAUACUGAUUUGGAGUUACCGAAAGCUUUUGAUUUUGGAUCCCCGUACGCUAUUAAACCAAUUGUCGUCUUGCAAAAGAUGUUGAAGACUUAUCAAAACCGGACAAUCAUCAUCAUGAUCGAAUCCUCUAGGUCUUCUGAGUUAGUUUAUGUUCAUGUCAAGGAGCUUUUGCUAACUAGUCAUGGAGUUUACGACCUUGGAACGACUGAAAGGACUUGAUUUUGAUCAUGCACACAUCACUUUUGGCUAAGGCAAAAGCCUACAUGCAACCUGCAAGCUUCACAGCUUCGCACAUGCCAAUUCUGCGAAAAACAGCAAUCUGUCUCUUCUAGACAGUCAACUUCGUUUGAGCUUUGUGAACAGCUCUGGACGAACUAGAUAGUGAGCUUUAUAUCAUUGGAAAGCUCUACGAGUCUAGUUUUCAGAACCUUUCGCGGUUCAUCCAUAUCUAUUUUAACAAAGAAGUUAUGGCUGUUUUAGUGCGCAAAAGUCAUUCCGCACGGAAAUUUUAAUGCACUCUCAGGAUUGCAGCUUUUUGUAGCUUCUUUCAAUCCUUCUAAAUGGUUCAAGUGGAACUAUUUACUCUCCUAUCUACUCCAUUUUGUACAUCUGUCUCAUAGAGACAUUAAGUGCUUCGCAAACAGUGGAACUAUUCACAACAUUCUAAGGAACCGGCAACUAUCUUUGGAUAUUAUGCCUUUGUAAAUCUUCUGUAUUGAGAGACACGGUUUAGCUUGAAUUUUGAUGCCUCAUGGCACCAUGAUCAACGUCACAGAUGCCCUCUAUGCAUUGAGAGGCAACCGAACCAUGUUGAGCUUUAAAGACAUUCUUGCUAAUAGUUUUUAUUUGAAAACACAUUAUGAGAAUGAACAAGAAUUCUUUUGUGUAUACAUUCUCAUGAAUGUGGACUGAAAUGCAUCUUGGAGAAGUUCAUGAGUCAAUUUAAUGGAUUGUAUGUCACUACGAUUCGAGUAUCGAAUCCCAUGUUGUCGCCAAACAUGAUAUUUGGGACACCGACUCAUAGAGGCUUUGGUUUGACCAAAUCGGUCAACCUCGAAGAGAUAUAAUGGUCCAAAUUUUGAGAAACAUCCAUUCUUCUGCUCAAAACGAAGACAUUCGGGAUCUAACAUCACCAUGAAGCAUGGUGGUGACCCAGGGGACAUUUGUAACACCCCGGACCAAAUUCUACCUAUUUACUAGGUAUUCUACGAGUUACUGAAGAAUUUAACUGUGUUCGGUAAUUUGGUAAUUUAACACUCGAGUUUAUUGUUGAGUUUUUCUUAAAAUGUUAAAUUCCUCUUUUAAGGCCUCGAUAUAGUAGUACGUGUCGACACAGGUUCAACAGUGGCAUUGGAUUAUUUGUUGGAGCUUCGAGUUAUUUUUUCUAUUAUUUAUUAGAGGUUUGGUUUUAGAAAUUUAUUUUCUCGGAAGAAAAUAACUUUUAUCCGGGCUUCCAUUAGGGUUUUGAUAUGAGUUGUAGAAUUUAAGCUUAAAAGGUAAAGAGGAGGUUGACCCAGUCAAAGAACCCAACUCGGGUUUGACCGAGCCCAACAGAGUCUCCUCCUUCUCUCUCACUUCUCUCUCGUCGUUCGCCUUCUCCGGCGCAAUGGCGACGAUUCCGAGCACCUCCCACAGCGUAACUACCACCAAAAUAUUCUUCUCUUCAAUCUCUACAAAACCCAUACCUCAGUUCACACAGGCAUCCACAUACGAGGGAGAUCGAUGUCGAAGAGGCACGGCUGUGUUUCUCGUUUUCCGGCGAGCUCCGACGGCGACGGCGAUAGUGAGGGGUAGGAUUCUUCUCCUUUUUCCUUCUUCUCCCUUCCUAUGUCUUUAAUCUUUUGAUUCGUGCCCUAAUCAGAGGAACCCUUUUCUCCUGUUUUUGGGUUUUCACGGCGUAUCUCCGGCGACCGAGUUCUUGCCGUUUCCGACCUCUUCUCCAUGUUCCGACAAGCAAGGCUACUUCUUGGCAGACCCAGUGGCCGAGUGGAGGAGGUGGUUGGAGUUUGGUAGCAGAUGGGGUUCUUCUGGUUGGGACAGUGAGAGGCAGAGGGCUGCAGGUCGGUCUCCGGCAAGGAGAAGUUUCUGGGUUGGGGUUUUGAGCGGACUGAAGGUAAAGGUUAAAAAUCUGAGCUGCUGUGUUGUUGCUAUGUUGUGCUUAUUGUGUUGUUUAGGUGUUGAUUCGGCUGUUUCCUUUGUGAUAUGUCGAGAACUUGGUGUUUUGAAGAACACGGGGAGGUUAUGGCCAUUUUCUGGUGAGUGGCCGGAAUCCGGUAGAAUAUUCCGGCAAGUCGCCGGAAUCCGACGAAGGCAGUAAUUUUGGAAGAAGGUGAUGAGGUAGUUAUCGACGUUUUUCCUUUCUGAUUUGUAUCGUUUCAGAAAUGGAAAGUUUGUCGGUUUGUAAUCGGAAAUCUUUCUAAGGGAGGAAAGUUUCUAUUUUAGGAAACUUUCCCUUUUUUGGAAGCUUCCUAUUUAUGGAAACCCAUUUGGGUGCCCUUAGUAAAUUUUGGAAGUAAAUUGGUUGUUGUAUUAAAGGCAUGGAAAUUGAUUAUGACUUCGAUUCCAAGUUAAGGUUUUGUUUAGAGGCAACGUUCGAGGAGUAUUCCAAGCAUUAUAUUGAGAAGUUUAAGCCUAACACUGUGAGUGGACAUUUUGGUUUUUCUUAAAUAUGCGUGCAUGACUUUAUAAAUUAUGAUUUUAUUUUCCGAGCAUAUAUUAUAACUUCGGCUUACUAAAUGAUCUUGGAAAUUAUUUUAAGUUUGAUGCAUGGAUUAAUUGUGCACCAUGAUUUAUGGAUUUGAGCUCGGAUCAUUAAUUUGGUACUUGAGUUUGGAUAUCAUUUAUGAUUUCCGGAUUUAAUUAUUAUCGGCUUUAUUGUUGACUUUGAGAUUUAUUAAAGACUACCGAAACUGGGAUUUUCAGUAAUUCUCUUUUUAUAACUUUCUCGGUUAUUUGUGGUUUAUCGACCUUGACAUUGAGAAUAUUUUGACGUGUGAGACACGUCAUUGAGUAUUGUUACAUUGCUUGGUUGAGUGGGCCGGGAUACUUAUCUCGUGAGCUUUAUCUAGUGGGCCGGGAUACCUUUCUCGUGAGCUCUAUCUAGUGGGCCGGGAUAUUUAUCUUGUGAGCUCUAUAUGAUCUUCUUAUUUCAUUAUAUAAGGGUUGUUGUAUAUUAUUAUUGCUAGCUAGCCUUUAGCGUGGGACGUUAUUAAUAGAGUCUGGGAGGCUCCGACCCUAGCCUGGGAGGCUCAUCUUUAUGGUGAAACCCCUUUCUAGUUUCUUGGAUUUAUUCGAACCAACGGGAUUGGUUCGUCAUUUGUACUCUUUUAGAAGUAUUAUGAGUGAGCAUCAAGUGUUGCAUGCAUAGUUGUAUUUUCGUUGAUCAAAUCGGGAAAACAUAAAUAUUUUUAUUGGUUUAUUUCCUUUAAAUUUAUUCUUGUCCACUCACUCUAACGUUUUCGAAUGUUUUCCCCUAGGCCCUUCGGUUUUAAAUGCCCAGUUUGCAAGUUAGUAUAAUUGAGGUCGGGCGUACUUGGAGUCGAGGCAUAGUCCAUCGUAUAGCUUAAGCUUAAAUAUAUAUUUAUCUCCCCUUCACUGUUAGAAUUGCUCUGAACCUAUUAAUUGUUGGUUAUGGGAUUUUUGUUAGAUUAGUAAAUAUAAAUUUUUUAGAUGUUGUGAUUUGUGGGGAGCACGGAGGCUUCAGGAGUUUAUAAGAUUGAAGUUGAAAUUUUUAGAAGUGUUUGCAGGUAUUUUUAUUUAGGAAGGGUUGCCUAUUUUCAAGGGAGGUUAUGCCGAGUUUUCGGUAAAUUUUCCUUGGAGGUGGACCCCGUAGGAUUUACUUCUGGUUUCAGAGUGAAAUUCGGGGUGGGUCCUGACAACAUUGACGUCACCCGAACACGGCUCCAACUUCCCGAAGGCCGUCCGGUCAAUUCCUCAAGCAAUUGAGGUGCACCGGCCUUCCCUCUAUGUCUCAUUGGCCCCUGUAAUGCUCAUUGCUCGUUUUGAAAGCCUAUUUUUAACUAAAUUAGGAGUGAGACUCUCCUAUGCUAAAUUACACAAAGUGAACAUUCCAUUCUUACAUCAACCUAUGUUGAUAGAUACAACCAACUUGCGAACACCUUUUUUUAUGCUUUAUGGUGUUGGUUGAAGUGUUAACACACUGGUCACGUGUUACACUAUUAUCUACUGCUUAUGCUGCUUAUACUUCUACGGGCUCACUACCCAUUCUUUAAAAAAGUUUAUCGGGAUGUCAGUUGAAGUGUCUUGUACCCCAUGUUCACACGCAAUACGGUCUCACCGAGGCUACGACCAAGCAACUUUAGCUUGUCGCUCGAACAUUAUUGAUGCACACCAAUCUUUUUAUUGCGUCUUGGGGCUAUGCAAUAUUUGCAUGCAGCUUUACUAUUCAUCUACGACCCACCAUCAUUGAAUAUUUUUGUACUACAGCUCGUGACUGUCACUACCAGGACAAGCACUUUAGCCGACGAAAAAGUUUCAUCGGCCAGUUAGCUUAAUUCGUCGGCUAAGAUCUUACCCGACGAGCCUUCGUCGGCUAUAGUUUCGUCGGGAAAGAGGCGUCGGUGAUGACUUUAGCCGACGAAAUUAGAAAACGUCGUCGGCUAUUGUCCCAGUAUUUAGCCGACGACAGAAGACGUCGUUGACCAUAGUCUGAGACUUUAGCGAACGAAACAUUUAAGAUAUUCGUCGGCUAAAGUAUGUAAUAAAAAAUUAAAAAAUAACUAUAGCCGACGAAAUAUAGUCUGUUUCGUCGGCUUUAGAAGUGUUUAGCCGACGAAACAUGCCAUAAUUUGUCGGCUAAACCUUAUAAAAAAAUUAAAAAAUACUAUAGCCGAAUAUAGUCGGCUAAAGUAUUUAAAUAUCGUCGGCUAAAGUAUUUAAAUAUCGUCGGCUAAAGUAUUUAAAUAUCGUCGGCUAAAGUUGCUGGUUUUUGAAAAAAAAAACUGUAGAAACUUUCGGCCACCUCCAAUCAUCACCAAAAUUUGACAAAAUCUUCCUCUCAACAUUUCGAACAACUUUCUAGAAGAAGUCAAACCCAAUUCUAAGCCUAAACAGGUCAAUUGAAUCAAAAUAUAAAAAUCCCUAAUUUUAAACCCUAAAAACUUUAAAUCUUCGAUUCUCUUCACACACACCGAAUCGAGCUACCAAAUUCUAGGGGAAUGUAGUACUAAUCAAACUCAACUUAUCCAUAUAUAGAACUCACCAAAUGGUGACCUAAGGAAGGAGAAAUUCGAUCGACACCGAAUCCAAACCGGCGGAGUUUUAGAGCUCGAUUUAUCCCUCACGGCGGCGCCACUCAAUGCACCACCUGUCCAGCAAUGAAGUAGAGAUGACGGCGAAGUUUUUAGGACAAGUGUGGCGGUCUCCGGUGGCUUGACGGCGGAGCUAGGCCGAGAAGAAAAUCCGGCAGGCGAAACAAUAACUUUUUCUGAUUUUCUGACUUCUUACCAUCCACCUCUGGUAAAACUCCUAUAUAAAGAACUUUACCCGACGAAAUUCUUUAUUUUCAUCGGCUAAACUCUUUUGAAAAUUUUGAUUGACCGCAAAAAUUUUUUUGACAAUAGCCGACGAAAUCAUAUAUUUUCGUCGGCUAGAGUCCUUUGAAAAUUUUCCUCCAAAUUUGGUUUACCACCAAAAAAAUUUUGACCUUAGCCGACGACUUUUUUAAGAUCUCGUCAGCUAAAGUCUAUAAAUUCACGAAAACGCUCAUAUCUCCCUCUAUAGUAAGUAGUUUGGUCAAACCUUCCACACGAAAAACUUUCACGUAGAUGAGACGCAACCGCCUAUAUAAAAAUUUGAGACAUUUACCUUCCGACGAUAGGGCUCCCCAUAGGGAAUAAUAACGGUAAAUAGGGUUGACCGCUACUAUCGGUACCGAGACGUUACCUGAUUUACAUGAUUUUUGAACCAUAGCCGUAUUUCACCAUUCUAAACACAUCUUAUUUCACGAGAUUUUUGAUAAUUUUGCUUCCUAUGUAGAGUUGGUUCACAAAGUUGUAUUACCUACUAAACAAGUUAUACAACAUUCGUAGACACGUUGUGAUUACGAUGAUUAAAAUUCACAAACCAAAAUUCGACCAUCAGAUAUGAUCAUUAUGAUAAAAGAUGUCUGGAAUUCAACUGGAUCCGACAACGUUAAGGGCUCGAUCGAAACGGUCAACCCUAAUCCAUCGUCACUUAUCACACAAAAACGCUCAUAUCUCCCUCUAUAUUACAUAGUUUGGUCAAACCUUCCACAUGAAAAACUCUCACGUAGAUGAGACGCAACUGACCAUAUAAAAAUUUUGAGACAUUUACCUUCCGACGAUAGGGCUCCCCAUAGGGAAUAAUAACGGUAAAUAGAGUUGAUCGCUACUAUCGGCACCGUGACGUUACCCGGUUUACGUGAUUUUUGAACCAUAGCCGUGUUUCACCAUUCCAAACAUGUCUUAUUUUUACAAAAUUUUUGAUAAUUUUGCUUCCUAUGUAGAGUUGGUUCACAAAAUAUAAAAAUUUUGAGACAUUUACCUUCCGACGAUAGGGCUCCCCAUAGGGAAUAAUAACGGUAAAUAGAGUUGACCGCUACUAUCGGCACCGAGACGUUACCCGGUUUACAUGAUUUUUGAACCAUAGCCGUAUUUCACCAUUCUAAACACGUCUUAUUUUCACAAGAUUUUUGAUAAUUUUGCUUCCUAUGUAGAGUUGGUUCACAAAGUUGUAUAACCUACUAAACAAGUUAUACAACAUUAGUAGACACGUUGUGAUUCUGAUGACUAAAAUUCACAAACCAAAACUCGACCGUCAGAUAUGAUCAUUAUGAUGAAAGAUGUCUAUGGUAAAAAAUUCAACUGGAUUCGACAACGUUAAGGGCUCGAUCGAAACGGUCAACUCUAAUCGGAAAUAAGAAAACUGCAUUUUGAAGCCCUAAAUAGACUUGGAUGGCCAAAAAGGCCCAUAUUUCAUGGCAUAGCAAUGAGUUUGACUCGUAGGGCCGUUACGCUUCCGGAAAGGUAUCAUAAUAGUCAAUCGGACACUGAACGCCAAAUCUGCAGCAUACCGGGUUUCGAUUGUUCUACAUCAGAGACGUUACCCGAUUUACGUGACUUUUGAACCAUAGUCGUGUUUCACCAUUCUGAACACAUCUUAUUUCAUGAGAUUUUUGUUAAUUUUGCUUCUAUGUAGAGUUGGUUCACAAAGUUGUGUAUUUGUUUAAAACCUACUAAGCAAGUUAUACAACAUUUUAUUGUUUUUCUUUUAGCAGACGGAUAAUAGCCAACGAGAUUUUUUUUCGCCUACUAAAAUACUUUAGCCGACGAGUAAAAACUUUGGCCGACGAAAAAAAAUUUUGUCGGCUAAAGUAUAGUAUAGCAGACGAAAUUUUUUUUCCGUCGCACUAGGAAGAAAACAAACUUAGCAUAACCUGAUCCAUUGAUCAGUGAUACUCAAAUCUGUCUCAUGAAGUCUGAAUUGUGAUUAUCGUUGGGGGACACCUCAAUGUCAAAUCCAAUCCAUAUAGAGAUCUAUACAAGUAUUACACUAGUGUACAUGAGGACGCGGGAUAAUGAGUCUACUAUCGAACCACCCUUCGUUGAUUGGCCAAAUGGAAAGAUGCGAUCCAGCAUUAACAAAGAGAUAGGUCCUUGGGCAGGUGAUGCCGACACCGCAAGUUAAACCCUAUCAACUAUGCCUUUGUUAGAUAGCGUAGUGAGAACAAGAGCUUAGACUCACCUUAUGGCGCAAGGUCUCUCACUAACAAGCACUGAGAUCGACUACGAUGAGAUAUGCUCUCGUAAUGGAUGUCAUUGCACUCCACUACUUUGUCAGUUUGGUAGUUUUCCGAAUAACUGAACAUGCAGCCUAUGAAUGUGGUCAUAAUAACAUCUCUACAGGAUCAGAGAUAUACAUGAAGAUCUUAAACAGACUUCAUUCAUCUUAAUCAAGUUGCUCCAGACCACAGGAGCACGCGUUCGCUAAAGGUUUUGAAACGCACAUUAAGUAACUAAUUUGCGUGUUCAUUCUGGAUUUACAUGGACUCUUGAUGGAUCAAGAGAUGCCAAUAUGUAUCAACAUUUUAAGAAAAAGAUCUUGAGAAGACACAGUCUCGACAAGGCACUCGAUGAUUGUAUUGAUGAUGAUUUUCCAUCAAUCGGCUUAGGCGCUCUAUAACUAGUGAGGCCUACAUAUACUCCCAUGAUUAGUCAAAGUCUUUGCUUUAAAGAGAGAUCCGUUUUUUUGUCUAAAGCAAGAUGACAAAUAUGUGUUAAGAGAUGGAGUUCCCAUCUAAGUACAAUAAGAUGCAUCAAUGUACUCAACACAAUACGAAACACUUGACAUCUCAUUCGUUAUGAAAAGUUGUAAAGCUAAGUGUAGCUAUGCGCCCACGUAACGCCAAUGUAAUGGCAGUAACUCUUUUUUUAAAUAGUUAAUGGUAUGAAAGGUUGAGGCUUAUUCUAUCCCUACAUAAGAAAGACACAUCAAUAGCGAAAUUAGAAUCUGCCAAGUUUCGUAGGUCAAUUUCUACGGGACCUACAGGAAAUUUCACUCACUGGAAAAUGGUGAAAUUGGUGCCACUGGAAAGCUCUAUGUGUCUACUUUCCAGGGACACCAACCAUUUAAUCAUAUCUAUCAUAUUGAGUGAGUUAUGGCUUUUUUCGUAAAGUAGGACGAAUCUGUCCGAGAAUCUGAUUUUGGCAAAACAGUUAAAUUUGACAGGACUUUGUGAAUAGCUCCUGACGAACCAGAACAUGUGUAAUAUACAGUUGGAAAGCUAAAUGAGUCUAGUUUCCAAAACCGUUUACGGUUCAUUCAUAUGUAUUUCCUAGAGGAAGUUACGGCUGUUCUAGUAACUGAAGGUCAUGCUGUGCGGAAAUCUGAUUUCCUGCACGAACUUAUGUUUUGAGUUCACAAGCGGUCUUCUCCUCAAGAUCUAAAUGUAAAAGAUCAUGUUUGAGGACAAUACGGCAUGAUCUAGUUAAUCAUUGCCCAAUGCCACAUUUGAAGACAUGUUAAAGAGCAUUGACAUGCGAAGUUAUUGAAGUUUCCGUGAUUAGUAAGAAUCAGGAAGAGCCCUAUGAUUGAUGUAAGGGAAAAUUUCAAAAACAGUACACCAAUUAUGGUCCACUCUAAAGACUAGUACAUUAUCUUUUGAGAAAAUCAAAACAGUACAUGAAGUUGUAAUUAUGACCCAAAAUCGAUACAUGCCGUUAUUUUUUCUGUUAUUUGGUGUCUCUACCAUUAAACUUCAAAGGAUAAAUUCGUCCUUCUCUUGCUUCCUCCUUCUAUCUCUGAAACUAGAAAAAGCUGCAGCAAUUUUGCAAACUCUUUUAAAUAUAAAACAGAUGAGCAUGAACCAAAAAAAACCCAAAAUCCCAAAACCCUGUAUGGUUCAUUGGUUCUUCUACCAAGGGUUUUAAUCUCCAAUUUAUUUAUGAAACCCAUUGCUUCCUAGUGAGCCCAACCGCUGUCCUCUCACCAGAAUCAUCGUCUUAAAUGAAAAAAGUUAAAAAAAAAAAAAAAAAAGUAGAUUCCUCCUGCAAUUAUGAAUGGGUAUUGCAUGUUCUUCUAUUUGUUCAUAUCUGGGUAAUAUUGUUGCUUUUUUUUGUUGUUGCUAUGGUAUGGUAGGAUUGUCAAACUUCAAGAAUUUGUGAAGAACAUUUCAAACCCGUCACCAUGCGAACUGAAUUUCCAACCCCAAAAUCAAUAGAAAAAACCCAAACUCAUCUAUUUUAUAUUUAAAAAAGUUUGCAAAGUUGCUGUAGUUUUUUCUUGUUACAAAGAUAUAUAGAAGGAGGAAGCAAGAGAAGGACGAAUUUAUCCUUUGAAGUUUAACGGUAGAGACACCAAAUAACAGAAAAAAUAACGGCAUGUAUCGAUUUUGGGUCAUAAUUACAAUUUCAUGUACUGUUUUGAUUUUCUUGAAAGAUAAUGUACUAAUCUUUAGAGUGGACCAUAAUUGGUGUACUGUUUUUGCAAUUUUCCCUUGAUGUAAAGAUCAGGGGGAGGUGCGAACUUCAGGGGGAGUCUAGCACAUACAUACAUGUCACUAUCAAAUGUGAAGGGUGCGUUGUACUCUUUUUCUCCUACGAUUAAGGUUCAGUUUUUCUCCCACAGGGUUUUUGUGACUUGACGAGGUUUUUGACGAGGCAAAAAAUCAGCACCAUCGGCAUAUCAGCGCGCGGCACAAGGGAGAGUGUUCUAGGAUAUUCUGUAUCUUUCUAGAUAUUCUUUAUGUGUGCCUUGGCCUUAUGCCAAUAGGAUAUGUAGUUUGACUAAAUCUAUGUAUUCCUAUCCUUACCAUAUUGGUAUUGUGUAAUUCCUUAUAUAAAGGGCUCCUAUCUUUGAAUAAUACACACAUCUUUCACAAUUCUCUAUUCUCAAAUAUCUCUCACUUCAUCAAAUUAGUAAUUAAUGGUUAUUUGAAUUAUGAGACUAGAGUUAGAAUAAAAAUUAUGAUACUCAUCCUAAUUUAAAGAUAUUGAGGAAAAAGAUGCAGGAAAUGGCCUCAACUUGAAAAGUUAAAACUUAGAAGUAUAUACCUAUCUUCUCAUCAGGAAUGGAGGUAGAAAAUCCCUUUAAGAUUGGUUUAUAUUAGUAAGGAUGUCUAACACAACAUCACACACUAAAUUCAUAAACAAGAGAACCCUGACAAGCAACGAAUUGACAAACACAAUAUAGUAUGCAGGUCUUCAAAUUACAAAGCAAACCAAACUAUCUAACUAGUUGUGCAACAAAACCCCUCAAUUAUAAUUGGUUUUUAGACAACCCAUUUGAUAACUAUUACUUUGAAAAAUUAAUUAUGAUUUGUUGGCAAGUUUGGAGAGCAAGGAACGAUACUAUCUUUAGGGGUAAGAAUCCCAACCCCAAAUCUAUUCCAGUUCUUGCUGCUUGCCAUCAAAGCAAUGCCCUACAAAUUGAUAUGCAAAGGUCUACAAUGCAUGAUCCUGUUGAAAUGAACAUGAUUAGGUGGUCACCACCCCCUUCAAAUUGGGUUAAAAUAAAUUUUAAUGGUUCUGUAAGAAGUAAAGCUGCUGCUGGAGGUUUUAUUUUAAGAACAGAAGAUGGUAAACCUCUUGUGGCAGCUGCCUUCAACUCUAGUGUUGCUAGUCUCUCUCUUGCCGAAACUCUUGCACUAAGAAAUAGUCUAGUAUGCGCUAAAGAGAAAGGCUUAUCAAAGAUUGAAGUAGAAGAUGAUUCCAAGCUCAUCAUUGACAUUGUGAAUGGAGUUUGUGAUCCCCUUUGGAGGCUUCUGAAGAUAUUCCAAGAUAUAAAUUUUUUUGAGAUGUAAUUUUGUAUCCAUCAGCUUCAAACAUGUAUUGAGGAAAGCUAAUUUCGUGGCCAAUGUUUUGGCUAACAUAGGGCAUAGGGUUGAGAAUUGUCACUUCUGGGAGGAGUGUCCCGAAGCAUUUCUUGCCCUUGCCUUCGACAAUGUAAACUCUGGGUGCCGGCGAGCACCUCUAUUUAAUAGAUUUUCUUCUCAUCAAAAAUAAAUAAAAAACAAAACCCCUCAAUUUCCAUAAACUCUAACUGCUCCAAUCAUCAGAAACAACAGUUUCGUACACAUUCGAUUGCAUACACAGAGAAUUAAACCUAUAUUUAUGAAUCUCAAAAGACUGGAUUAUGAAAUUACCUCGAGCUUUUCCUCGUUGUUCGCCAUAUUGAGUUCGGAGCUCUAACACGAUCUCACCUCUCUUUCUUCCUCUCUACCUCUCUCCUCUCUCUCUCUCUCUCAAUCUCACACUGGCACUCUCUCUAUGUGUGUUUCUCGUUCAAUUUUGUGUUUCACUAUAAACCCGUCUAGUGGCAGUAGGGUUUGUUCAGCUUGAGGGGGACAUGUGGCGGCAUCCUACUUGAUUGUAUACUGUCCAAGUUUUAUGAAACAUCGCCGUAUUAAACUGAAGAGCAGGCAUGACAUUGGACAAAGAGAGUCCACCCUAAUAGUUUUACCUAUAUAACUCCACUUUUCUUACUCAAAUUAUUUCCCCUUGACUGUCUUACCCUUGUGCAUAAAGAUAUUAGACCUGUGGCGCUCAAAAUGUCUCUCAUUGCUGUCACCCAAAGGGCCAAAACCUCGCUCUGCAACGCCGGCUCGACUACGAUUGCGGUCACCACCGACAACAACGUCGGCUCGACCUCGACUGCAUCUCCAAUUCUAUCGACGAUGACCUCCGACUCGACAUCGGCUGAAUCUUCGAUUUUGACCUCGAUUGGAUCUCCGAUUCUGUCGUCGACAACCUUGAUUGGAUCUCUUAUUCCGUCCUCGACCGGAUCACCAAUUUGGCCGACAAAAACCUCGAUUGGAUCUCUGAUUCUUUCAAUGACCACCUCAACUCGAUCUCUGAUUCCAUCGACUGAGUCUUGCUCGACCUUAGCUGCAUCUCUAAUUCGGUGACAUAAGUUUCUAAUCUCGUUGGCUUUGGUUUACACGAAUUUAAAACAAGCAACUAUGUGCUUUGCUUAUAUUUGUUGUGUGAUGGUGAUGGUUUUUAGGAUGAAAGAGAAGCACGGGAGCCUCAAUGUGAAGGCGAAGUAGAGAAAUAACCAAUUAGGAUCCGGAUCGAGGGAUAUCUAUUUUUACACAAAUUUUGACACUCGUUUUUAGCUUUUAGAUUUUAAAUUUUUUAACGGUGUAGAUUAAUUGUGGAUAUGAUGUGAACCACUACUAGAAAUAAGUUCUUAGGUGACGAAAUUUUUUCGUCACCUAAGAGCUUCUAUUGUCCUGUAUUGAUGUAUACACUAAUACGACGAAAAUUUCGUCACCUAAGGUUCGUCAUCUAAGGGCGGUGGUUAGAGCACUUAGGUGACGAAAAUAUGAAUUUCGUCAUCUUAGUAAUGACUAAGAUGACGAAAACCUUUUUGUCGCCAAGAUACUUAGCUGACGAAAUAAUUUUCGUCGCCAAACUACUUAGUUGACGAAAAUAAUUUUGUCGCAAAUCUGGUUACAUGACGUAGUAUGACCAGCUAAGGUGACGAAAUCAGUCAUUACGAAAACACUAACACUACGAAAACAGUCAGUUUGCUGACAAUUCUUUCAUCGGGCUAGGGCCACGAAAGUUGAAUUUUCAUCACCUUAGUGCUAUUUAUAUUUAUUAAAUUUGAUCAUUAAUAAUUAUUAAAAUCACAUUUAAUAUUAACAAAAAUAAAUUUAAAAAAAAAGUCUCAAUAUUUCAAAAACCCACUAUUGGCCAAAGCAGCACCUAGGCAGUAGCAAACAUAUAUAUAUAUAUAUAUAAUCAAGUUCAUAUACAAACUCAUCAAGAGUAGUACUUGAUCAAUAUAGACUUGUUCAUACAAAAUAUAUACUAGCUAGAAAAUGAACUAGUGACUAUGAAGGGCUAUCAAUUGAAUCAAUGCCUCCAUCAUCAUGAUCAUCAUCAUUGGGAUGCUCCUGGGGUGGGACUGCCGGCUGGCAUACGCCGAAUUUGGUGAAAAGAAACUGCUCACAUUGUUGAAGACGUGCCAUGAUUUGUAUGUUCUCUUCCUUGGCUUUUCGGGCUUCCUCAUUGGCUUUCCGGGCUUCCUCCUUAGCCUUUCAAGCUUCCUCCACAGCAAUAUCAACAAGUGCAGCUCGUUGGGAACGUGAAGUGCAGCUCCUAUCGGGCCCUUGACUCAAACCAUAACUGCCUACUAGUCCCAUGACCCAGAUCUCAUUCAUGUUUCUAUGUCUAAAUGCUUUUUCAAACACAAUCGCUUGAGUUUGUUGGUCAAAAUGAAGAUCAAUAUCUUCUUCCGGAAUGCCAGGGUAUUCCUUCCUCACAUUGUCACGGAUCUCAUCAAGCUUAUCCAUCAGUUUAGCCUAACAAAAGAAGUAUAUGUUUUACAAAAACAAUUACUAUGGAGAAUAGAGUUUUGAGGGCAGUAAUAUCUAUAUUGCUGAAAGUCAUUAAUCAUAGGCUCUCAUCUAGCAUUAUUAACCCAUCUAUAUAUAUUGAUUACCACCACAUAUUAAUCAACCUCCAUAUAUCAAGGUAUCAAGAAACUUAGUCUGAGAUGCACUAUGAAUGACAUUAACUGCCACAAUUCUUUUUUGAGAAGUCACUAGUAUAUGUUCCUUAUUGUGGUUUUUGCUUAUGACAUGCAUUAUUAUAUAUUACAAGUUACUCAUGCAUUUGGCAGGAAGUAAUGCAAGUUAACUAGUUAAUAUCGUGCAAAAAAAAACUAAUUCACAAUAUUGUUGCUUCCAGAGACCAAGAAGUAAUGCAAAGGCAGGAUGUAAACCACUUACUUCAUUUUCAGCUGCUUUCAAGUUGUGAGCUGAGUCAUACACCUGUGAGUAACUUUUAAUAAAAUAGAGGUGUUCACCCUUGUCCUUCAAUUCCUUCGCAUUGUAGAUGAAAGGCCUCGCCCCGGUGUAGUGGUACAAUGUCUUCUUGUCCCGGUUACUCUUGUUUGCAGCCGAUCUUCUCUGUAAUUUCAUCAUAUUAACAAUUUGGUUAUUAACAUCAAGCUUAAUCAUCAAAAACCAUAAACACAAAACUGACCAAAUGAACAGUAGUAAUGCAAAACCCAGAUAUAUACUUGUACCCAGAGAAACUGUUGUAGUAAUGCAAGUAAUAUAUAUAUACUUGUACCUAGAGAAACUACUGUAGUAAUCAGUGGAAUAUAUAUACUUGUACCUAGAGAAAAUGCAAGCAAUAUACUUGUACCUUAAUCUACCUUGUACAGCAAAGAAAAAACUAAAGCCUUAUUUAUUUUCUGCUGGAUACAAAGUUAACCAAUUGAACUAAUCAUUCGAAGGAGCCAGAGAAUGGGGAGUAACAAUUGCAGCUGAUCAAUGGAUUGCCUUGUCAUCAGUUAAAAAAAUCUACCAACUUUUUGUGUAACACAAAAUGUCUCAAACUUUAAAUAGAUCAAUACUUUUGGUAGUCCAAAAUCCAGUAUACUUCUUCUCUACUCACAAGUUUGUGUUUGCUAAUAGAAUGAUGGGGCUAUUUCCGCAUUGCUUAAAAAAACCAAAUUCUAAACCACUUUGGUAAUUCAACAUGGAAGGAUUCCAUAAGGGAUUCCAAGAUUUCAAGUCCAUGGGAUAGAGGCGAAAUGGAUGACGUUAAUAUGAAAUAACAAGCACAAUAUAUGGAUGCAAUAGAGGUUCAAUAUCCUACACAGAUUCAAAACAAGGGUAUCUGAGGACUAAUUAAUCAAGAACUCAAGAAAAAGACAUGCAAAAGCCAAGAAACUGGUUUUCCAAAAAUCAAAUGGUCAGAAACAAGGCAGAACAACAAAGGUAAAACAACCUUGGCACCAACUAGCAAUAGCCAGCUACACAUAACACUGAAUACAAUAAGGGAGAAACUAAUCCUUUUGAUUAAACCAACAAAGUUUUGAAUAAACCAACAAACUUUCAGUAGCAACAGUUAGUUAUAAAAUGAAAGUAAUAUACUAUGAAUCCAUCAGACUCGAAGGGUUUGAGGAGCCAGUUCCACUCAUCCAGCCUGUCACACCCCGGUUCUUAAGUUAUUUUACGGUUAUCUUUGGUAUUAUUUUGGUCUUUUACUGUUUACUAUUUUAAGACUCCAAAAGUUGACUUUUUCUUCCAUUUGGACUUUAGGAAAAAUUCCUUCAUGAAAGUCGUAGAGGACAUUAAUACGAGUUCGUAGCAUGCUAUGCGUUAAAUUCGAUGUUUGCAUGACAAAGUUAUCAAUUAAAAGGGUAAACAUUAGUUGGUAAGGGGUAAAUUUUUAUUGGGUUUUAUUUUGUGGGUGUUUUAAGUGUUGGACCGGGUGUGGAGAAGCCCAACACCCACAUUCUCUUUCUCUCUCUCUUCACUCUCUCUCCCGAGCCUUCCCCGAGCUCUCGCUCCCGCCGAAAACUUUCCCAGCGUCGUCCGCGGCCGUCCGGCCACCAUAGACCGCCGCACCGGUCCCAAACGGUCGGCCGUCGACCCAGCUCUCUUCUUGGACCGGUGGGAACCGCCCUAGCUCCGCCGUGAGAGAGGAAAAGCUCUCGGAAGCUCCGGUUGCGUGGUGGAGUCCCGACGCAGGAACUCGCUCCUCCGGCCACCAUCUCCAGUGAUUUCAGUCCCAUUUGGAAGUGCUCUCCGUGUGUAACAUUUCCAUAGAAGGUAAUGAUCCAAUUCGAAGUGUGUAGGAGGAUUUUCGGGCUAGGGUUUGAAUUGGGGGAUUUUUGGAUGUUUUGAUUUGAUUACCCUAGUUAAGCUUAGAAUUGGACUAAGUGCUAGUUAUGAAAGUUGUUAUGCUUGAUGAGAGGAUUAUUCUGUUAAAUUUUGGGAGGCAAUGGGCACCGCCGGAGGUUUUUUUUCAGGUUUUUGGGUUUGUUAUAAUGAGAGGAGUCUAAUGAAGUAUAGUUUGGAAUUUUUGGAGGAGUUUUGAUAAGGUUUGGGAUUUUUAAAAGAUUAAGGAUUUUGCCGGUUAUUAGAAUGAAAAUCCGGCCUUGGAUUUCCUUGAUAUUUAUUAUUGGAAAAUGGGAAAGUAAUUAAGUUUGGUUAGUUAUGUUGCGAUCAGUUACUUGAUUAUUUUUCGUCCACUCACUCUAACGUUUUUAAAUUACUUUCCCUUGGGCCCUUUGGUUUUAAAUUCCCAGUUUGUAGGCUAAGUCUAAGUGAGGUCGAGCGUACAUGGAGUCGAGGCAUAGUCAGAGGCUGCUUCCGCUUAUUCUUUAUUCUUUGUUUUUCUUUCAUUAUAGAUGUGCUCUGAUAACUAUUUGAGAUAGUUGUUAGUUGAUUAAGGUUUGUUGUAUUUUUGGGAGAUGUGUGGAACUUGAGGAGCAGGAAGGCUCCAGGUUGAGGCUGGUUUAUUUGUUUAUAGAAGUGUAAAUUGGAUUUUUCAGGUAAGGGUUGUCCAUUUUCAAGGUAGAUUAUGCCGAAUUUUUGGAAAAUUUUCCUUGGAAGUGAACCCCGCAAGAUUUACCUCGGGUUUCAGGGUAAAUUUUCCAAGGUAGAUUAUGCCGAAUUUUCGUUAAAAUGCUCAAUGAAAUAACCAAUCCAAAUAAUCAACAUAUUUCAAACCUCAAAUCCUUGAAUCAUUAUAAUUAAUAUAACUUAAAAUACCAAAUCUUUUACCCAAGCUCAAAUUCAUAACUUCCUCAAUGAAUUCAUAAUCAAUGGGUCAAUCACACAUAAAUCCCAUAACCAAUUCAAAAGCCGUAAUUAUAAUUUAAGCUUGGAAAAAUGUAUAAUGAACAACUUAAAAAUCAUGCAUGCAUAUUAGUUAAUAACCAAAAUGUCCACUCACAGAAAAACCCGCUACGUCGGUCCGCGGUCAAAACCCUUCUCACGUGGGGUCUCCUCUCAUCCUGUACAAAAUGAGAUUUAAGACCCGAGACAACAAUCACAAAAUUAAUCAAUUAUAAGGAAAAGCUAUCCUAGCACUAAUCUCACUCACCCAAACUUUCCAAAAUCUACUUAUAGCUCUACUUUAUCAACAACUUCCUACAAUACGACGAGGAAUGGACCAAACGAAUGAGCCUCCUCAAUUUCUCCCCUACCAAAACUAAUUCCAACACCAUAUCCCAAAUUUCAAGCAACCAUCUCCAAAAAUCCCCUACACUAAAUCAACAUUAGUCCCUUCUAAAAAUCAUCACCAUGUAAGGCAGCAGCCACCAGCAGUGGCGGUCAACCACCACCACCAUAUCAACUUCAACCAAAACUAGUAAAGCAUAUACCAAUCUCUUCUUCUCAACAAACACAACAACAAUCAAAACUAGCACGAACUCUAGAAAUCAAAGACUUGGCCGAAAAUUACCUCUAAAGCACAACAACACCAAAAAUUCCGAUUUGCCUUCUACUCCGAAUCAUUCUACCACUUUUGGGUGGUUGAAUGGCCAAUCAAUGAGCUAUAAAACCCCUCAAAGAUCACUUGAAUCGGUGGCCGAAAAAAUGGAGUUCUGGCUAGGGCAAGACUCACGACGGCAGCAGCGUCACCGCGCCUCAACACCGCCGAUUCUGGGCCGGUCACCACCCUAGGCUGGACGAGCGGCGUCUCAACUAUCAAACGUGACCCGCGAGGCAGCCAGGCGUGAUCGGACGACGGCGAUCGGUAGGGGAGAGGUUGGACUGGUCUGGGUCGGGGUCGGGGUCGGGGAGAGAGAAGGUGAGGUGCGGUUAUUUCUGUUUUCUAUCUUAACCCAAAAAAAUAACAAGUUUCCCCCCACUUAUACCCCAGCCCAAAAAUGGUAAUUAUCAUUAUUUUAGCUACCCUUCACUUACAAACUCCAGUUCGGGUAACUAAAAGUCUACACGUUUGUCUACACCACCUCUACCGAAAAUAAAAAUAAAUUCCUGAGUUGACAAGCUACAGUUAAAUCGAAAACCACAAUAUAAAAAUAAUUACUAGGUUCGGGGUGUAUCACCACUUGUACCACUACUGCAAACCCACCUCUCGACAUGCAAACCCGACUUCUCCUCUAGCUCAGCAAUUCUGUCACUCAGUUAGCUACACGAAUCGAAGGCGUUGAGAGUCGCGGGAGCCAGCGACCUCUAUUCUCGGGGUAUGGACAUCGCCCAAGUCCCUUCACGGCACGGGUGCAAAUGGAAAAGAGGCCACCCAAGGCCAAGCCUUUCAAAGUGGACAAAUAUAAGGGGACUGGGGACCCUCAUCUCCAUCUCGAAACAUUCCUUUCGUUGUGUAGUUCCACUCGAUACACAGAUGCCAUGGUUUGUCAUGCCUUCUAAGAAACCCUCUCAAAUGAAGCACUCAGUUGGUUCCUCAACCUGCCACACAACUCCAUUGAUAAUUUUAUGAAAAUCUACCGAAAUUUGUAUUCAUGCAUCACUGGUGUCUCCCUUCUUUCUAUUUUCAUAAUGUAUUACAUGCUAUUCAUAUAUUGUAAGUUUGCAUACAUCUAUAUAUAUAAGCGAAGAGUGUUUUUCACUGUUCACGUGAACAGUGACGUGACCCUUUUGUCUUUCCUUUUUAAAUCUUUUUACACCUCUGCCAUUCAGUUCUUAGGUUUUUUUUUUUUUUUUUUNNNNNNNNNNNNNNNNNNNNUUACAAUCCACCCCCCUUCGGGAGUCCGACGCCCUCGUCGGCACACUCGCACCACACGGCAGAGUGGCUCUGAUACCAUUUGUCACACCCCAGGACCCAUUCCGCCGUAACACGAUAUUGUCCGCUUUGGGCCCACCGGCCCUCACGGUUUUGUUUCCGGCAGCUCAGGAGCAGCUUCCUAGUAGGUCACCCAUCUUGGGAUUGCUCUAGCAUCAACAUGCUUAACCUCGGAGUACCCAUCCCCUCCGAAGCCGCUGAGCCACCAAAAGGCCUCGUGUUAGAUUGGAGGUGGGCAUGUAUAUAUACAGCACAUAACCCCUCUCCGUUUGGCCGAUGUGGGAUAUUACAAUAAAAAAUUUGGACCAUUUCUAGAUUUAUGCGUGUCAUCCUUGCGCAGGGGCCAUGCUAAUCUUCUCUAUAUCGUUCCAAUUUUAUCGGAUGUCCACGUAACACGAUAUUGUCCGCUUUGGGCCCACCGGCCCCCACGGUUUUGUUUCCGGCAGCUCAGGAGCAGCUUCCCAGUAGGUCACCCAUCCUGGGAUUGCUCUAGCAUCAUCAUGCUUAACCUCAGAGUACCCAUCCCCUCCGAAGCCGCUGAGCCACCAAAAGGCCUCGUGUUAGAUUGAAGUUGGGCAUGUACAUAUACAGCACAUAACCCCUCUCUGUUUGGCCGAUAUGGGAUAUUACAGUUUAAUUCAUAUAAGGGGUAUGGACACAUAUUUAUACACCCGUCUGUCCACCUUGAUGGCGUAGUGUAGCACCGCAUUAAGGCGUGACGUGAGCGUUGGACGCGAGCGUAGUAGCCCUAUAUAGACCCAUGAAUUUAUAUAGGGAGUAUGGACGAGUGUAAAUACAUACAUAUAUUAUAGAGUCUGAGAGGCUCGAUAUUUUAUGAGAUAAAAGUUUUAUCGCUUGCGGCAUGCAUUCGAUUUUUCCUUAGAAAUUAAUUUGGGGAAACAUAAAUAUUUUAUUUAUUAUUUUAUUUUUUGUCCACUCACUCUAACGUUAUUAAAUGUUUUCCCCUGGGCCCUUCGUUUUAAAUUGCCCAGUCUGCAGAGUUCGGGUUGGAUCUAGUAGGAGGGGAGGCAUAGUCACCCGCAUUUCUGCCAGUUUUCGUUAGUAGGUUACUUGUUCAACCUACUCGUGUUUUCUUGCUUCCGCUAGUGUUUAGUAGCUCUGAAUACUUUGGGAUUAUUGUAUAUUAUGUGUAGAAUUUCUGAAGGAUAAUUAUGUGAUGUUUGGAAGUGCUAAAUUAAGAGUGUAAUUUGGAAUUUUCGAGUUAGGGUUGUCUAUCUGCAAGGGAGAUUUUCUUAAUCUUUUCAGUAAAUUUUCCUUGGAGGUGGUCCUCGCACGACUUACUCCGGGUUUUAGGGUGAAAUUUGGGGUGGGUCGUGUCAUUGACUAUGCCUUUUCUCCAUGUACGCCCGACCUCAACUAUACUAACCUGCAUACUAGGCAUUUUUGAAACGAAGGGCCCAAGGGAAAACAUUUGAAAUUGUUAGAGUGAGUGGACAAAAAUGAAUUUAAUGAAAAAUGUCACGCCCCGGUUCUUAAGUUAUUUUACGGUUAUUUACUUUAGUAUUAUUUUGGUCUUUUACCGUGUUAAGUAACCGGUUACCCCUUAAGGACCCUAAAGUUGACUUUCUUUUCCGUUUGGAUUUUGGGGAAACUUUCUUCAUGAAAGUUGUAGAGGACGUUAAUACGAGUUCGUAGACAUGCUAUGUGUUAAAAUCGGAGUUAGCAUGAAAAAGUUAUUAUUAAAAGAGUAAAUUUUGAGUUAGAAAAGGGGCGUAAUUAUUAAUGGGUAUUAUUUUUUGGUCGGGUUUAUAGCUGGGCCGGCUGUGGAGAAGCCCAAAACCCUCACCCCUCAUUUCCUCUCUCUCCCUCUCUCCCUCACCCGUCACUUUCUCUCCCUCCCUCACCCGUGCAACUUGACCGCCGGAGAAGAGCCUCUGUCCGCUGCCGUCCGGCCGCCAGGGACCGCCGGACCACCUCUACCUGGACCCCCCGCCACCUCCUCUCCCUCCCCGGCCUAGCCCCCGAGCCGUUAGCCCGCUGGAAGAGGAGAAAACCCGCCGGAGACGCCGGGAAGCUUUUCGUCGGAAAUCCCACCUUCGGCCGCCAUAAGUCGAAAUCUUUAACUCAUCUUGUAGCCCUCAUCAAGGUGAGUAAUCCCUCAAAAGGAAUUAGUCUAUCUCGUUGUGGUUAUAGAGAAAUGUAUAAUUGAAGUUUUAGGGAUUUAUGGAUGUUUUGGUUCGAUUGCCCUAGUUAGCCUUAGAAAUGGACUAAGUGCUAGUUAUGAAUGUUGUUGAGCAUGAUGAGAGGAAUAUUCUGUGAAAAUUUGAGAAGUAUUGGAGGUCUCCGGAAAACGGCUGCCGGCCGCCGCCACCGGCAGGGCAGCUGCCGCCGCCGCCCCUUAAGGGCAGUUUUUCCUGUUUUUGAGAUGGUUUUAAUAAGAGGAGUUUAUUGAAAUAUAGUUUGGAAUUUUUGGAUGAGUUUUGGUUUGGUUUGGAAUUUUUCGGAGAUUGGAGAAAAGGCCGGUUAUUAGAAUGAAAAUCCGGCCGUUGGAUUUCCUUGGUAUUUAUUAUAGAAUGUUAGAAUUGAUGAAUUAAGGUUGUGGUGGAGUUUGGUGUGAAUCCGGCAAGUUUAACCCUAUUAAGAGUAGAGGGUUAAACGGAGGAGAGUUAGAUAUUUUAAUUCACGUAUUUAUUUUCUAGAAUUGAAGUUUGGUUCUAAGCAUGGUUGUUGUACCAGGAUGCGAAGGGAACCUCGCUUGAGUGGCGUUGCGGUUAUCGUCGGGCUUAUGCCCAAAUUUCUGAGUGGACAUUUUGGUUUUAAAAAUAAAUAUGCAUGCAAGAUUUUAUAAUCUAUCAUUUUAUUUUCCGAGCAUAUAAUAUAAUUUUUCAGUUCAUGAGAUGAGCUUGAAAAUUAUUUGAGUUUGGUGCAUUUAUUAAGUGUUGGUCAUGAUUUAUGGAGUUGAGCUCGGAUUAUUAUUUUGAUAUUUGAGUUUGGAUAUUUUUAUAAAUUCCGGAUUUCAUUAAAUGGUUUUAAUGGUGGAUUUUGAGAUUUAUAUAAGAUUUCCGAAAAUGGGAUUUUCGGUAGUUUCCUAUUUUUAAUUCUCGAAAUUAUUGGUGGAAUAUCGAUCUUGACUUUGAGUUUUAUAAAUGAUUACCGAAAAUGGGAUUGUCGGUAGUUCUCCUCAUAAUUUAAUUGUUCAUUUGAGGCAUAAUGAUUUUGACUUGGAGAAUAUUUUAGCGAGUAUUUCGGGCGUAGAUACUAUUAUUUAUGAUUCAUAUUUGUUAUUGAAAUCUCGCUUAUAUUUAUAAAUUGGAGAAUAUUUUGACGUGUGAGACACGUCAUUGAGUUGUGUUAUGAUUUCUUCUGAUGAUUUUCAUGUACGGUUGGGAACCGUACCAUUCGUUUGGUCUUGGGGGAAGUUUAAUGGAUUUAAGUGACUUCGUAUGUUUUAGUCACCAUAUUAUAGGGUCGUUUAUCUUAAUUAUUGCUAGCUAAUCUUAUUGGCGGUCCUCAUCAUAUGUGAGUCGCUAUUAUAGCCUUAUUAGCGGUCUUCUUCAUAUGUGAGUAGAGCGCUUAGCAUGGGACGCUAUUAUAGCUUGGGAGGCAACCGAUCGGUAUUUAUAUUUAUUAGUUAGCUAGCCUUAUUAGCGGUCCUCAUCAUAUGUGAGUUGAGCACUUAGCGUGGGACGCUAUUAUAGCCUUAUUUAGUGGUCCUCAUCAUAUGUGAGUUGAGCGUUUAGUGUGGGACGCUAUUAUAGCCUAGGAGGCAUCGACCUGAGCCUGGGAGGCUCCUUUUUCAUGGUGAUAACUCUUCCCCUAUUUUAUUCUUCUCAAUAAUAUAUUUGAUUAACCAGCGGGGCUGGUUUAUCUCCUCUUAUGAGAUUUAUGUUUUAACUAACCAGCGGGGCUGGUUUGUCCUUUAUUAAGUGAUUUUGGAUUUAAAGUUUUAAGGACGUUUAAGUUGCAUGUUGUUAAGUUUUAAAAGUUGAAAAGUGGGAAAGUAUAUAAGUUUUAUAAUUGUUAAGUUACUGAAUUUAUUUUCGUCCACUCACUCUAACAUUUUUAAAUUAUUUUCCCCUAGGCCAUUUGGUUUAUAAAUGCCCAGUUUGCAGGCUAAGUUAUUUGAGGACGAGCGUACAUGGAGUCGAGGCAUAGUCAGAGGCUGUUUCCGCUUAUUCAUUUUCAUUGUUUUCAUUCAUCAUUAGAUAUGCUCUGAAAGUCCAAUAAUAGCUUAUUAAAUGUCUUUGUUGUUGAUUGUGGAAUUAUUAUUAGAUGAGAAAUUGUUAUUGGGAGUUUUGAUGAACUUGGGGAGCAUGAAGGCUCCAGGAGACGAGGAUGGAUGUUUGUUUAUAGAAGUGUUAAGUUGGAUUUUUCAGGAAAGGGUUGUCCAUUUUCAAGGAAGGUUAUGCCGAAUUUUCGGUAAAUUUUCCUUGAAGGUGGACCCUGCAGGAUUUACCUCGGGUUUCAGGAUGAAAUUCGGGGUGGGUCCUGACAAAAAAUAUUUACGCUUUCCUAGUUUAAAUUUCCAUAGAAAAUAUACUGCAUGCGACAGCUCAAAAGCUCUCAACUCAUCAAUUGGCAAUUACAUGACUAGCUCCGGCUAGUCUCCAAACUUAAUAAAAUAAAGCCUCUCAGGCUAAAAUAAUAUAUAUAUAUAUAUAUAUAUGUAUUUACACUCGUCAUACUCUUUGUACGAAUUCCAUGAAGGAAUAAGAAAAAUAGAAAUUCAUACAAGGCUACUACGCUUGUGUCUAACAUUCACGUCACACCGUAAUUGGAUUUUACCUCAUUAUGGCGGAAAAGCACGAGUGUAUAUAUACGUGCAUAUUCCCUAUAUAAAUUACUAAAUUUAUAUAGGGCUAUGACGAUUGUGUCUAACGCUCACGUCACACCAUAAUAGAAUUUUACCUCAUUAUGGCGGAAAAGCACGUAUAGCUAGCUAGCAUUUAUUUAUAUGCAUACUAUCCUCAUAAUCAUCCAUAUACAUAUGCACCGAAAAUCUCAUUUUCAGUAACUCUCCAGAAAGAAUGAAAAUUGCCAAUUAUAAAAGACGCAAUAAAUAUAUGACUCCACCGAAAAUCUCAUUUUCGGUAACUUUCCAAAUAGCGAAGUUAACAAAUAAAAUAAGAGCAUUUACUUCCAAAAAUAACUUCGCGAAAAUAAACAAUUCCACAAAUUGAUAUUCAAUAAAAUCACCGCAUGCUUAUAAUUUAAAACGAACGUCCACUCACAACUUUAGGGAUAAGCCCGACGAUAUCCAAUUUGCUACUUAAGUGAGGUCUCCUCGAAUCUUGGCACAAUAACCAUGCUUAGGACCAAACUUCAAUUUCAGAAAAAAUAAUUCUUAAAUAUAUCACCCAAAACUCUUCCGCCUAGUCCACUACCCUUUCUAGGGUUAAGCUUAUUGGAUUGACGCCAAACUCCACCCAAAGCCUCAAUUCAUUCAUUUCAACAUUCUAAAACAAUAAUAAGGGAAAUCCAACGGUCAGAUUCUACCCCAUUAACCGCCAAAUUCACCAAUCUUUCAAAAAUCUCAAACCUAUCCAAAACUCCUCCAAAAAUUCCAAACUUCACAUCAUUAAACUCCCCUUAAUAUUACACAUUUAAAACCAUGAAAAUCCCCCUAGGGUCGUCUGCUCCGUCGGCAGCAGCGGCCGGCGACUGACUCUGGAGACCCCCAAUGCCUACUAAAUUUUAACAGCUUCAUCCUCUCAACACGCUCUACAACUUUCCUAACUAGCACCAAGACCAAUUUCAAGCUUAACUAGGCCAAUCGAACAAAAACUUACAAUAAAACCCUAGAACUUCAAACACUUGAAUCUCCUUACCUAGGCCAAGAGGGAGUGAAACCUUUGGAGGGAUGAAUGCACGGGAGAAGAGCUUCCUUUUGAGCUAAGUAGCUUCGGCUAUGGCAGCCGGAGGAGGAAGUUCCGGCGACGGAACACCACGGACAGCCCGAGCUUCCAAGCGCGAUUUCUCUUUCACAGCGGCGCUAGGGAGGCUGCCACCGGUCCAAGAAGGAAGAGGAGAUGAUGGCCGACCGUUUGUGACCGGUACGGUGACCUACGGUGGCCGAACGACAGCGGAUUGACGACGGGAAAAUCCGGUAGGAAAGAGGGAGGGCGUCGGGAGGAAAGAGAGAGAGAAGAGAGAAGAAAAGUGUUAGGCUUUUCCCAACCGGUUUCUACCGAAACCAAAUAUAAACCCAACUCCAAAAUAACACCACCAAAAUAAUACCCUAAUAAAAAUUACCUUUUUACUAGCUAAAAUUUACUAUUUUACCGUCAUCAAAUAUUUCUUCUACGAAUCAUUCCUCCGAAAAAAUCGCUCCUCAAAACCCCUCUAGGGACCUUUGAAACUAUAAACUCAUUUAUGAAGACGGUAAAACUCUUAUUAAUACCAAGCUAGUAAAUAAGGUAAAAAUUUAAGAGUCGGGAUGUGACAUGUCUUGUCCGGACCCGUCCCGGAUUUCACCUUGAAACUCGAAGUAAAUCCUGUGGAGUCCACCUCUGAGGAAAAUUUACCGAAAAUUCGGCAUAACCUCCCUUAAAAAUAGACAACCCUUCCUAAAUAAAAACACCUGCAAACACUUCUAAAAGUUCCAACUCCAACCUUAUAACUCCUGGAGCCUUCGUGCUCCCCAAAACACAACAUCUCCCAAUUUAUUUACUAACUUUAACACUUAAAAUCUCACAACCAACAAUCACAGUUCAGAGCAACUCUAUUAGAGGAGAAAAGAACUAGAAAUAUAGAAAUGAGCAGAAGCUAUACUAUUAACUAUGCCUCUUCUCCAUGUACGCUGGACCUCAAUUAUGCUAACCUGCAUACUGGGCAUUUUUAAAAUAAAGGCCCAGGGGAAAACAUUUGCAAACGUUACAGUGAGUGGACAAAAAUGAAUUCAAUAAAAAUUAUUUAUGCAUUCCCAAUUUAAUUUUCAUAGAAAAUAUGCUGCAUGCGACAGCUCAAAGCUUUCUACUCACAAACUGGCAAAUACAUGACUAGCUCCGGCCAGUCUCCAAAACUCAAUAAAAUGGAGCCUCUCAGGCUAAACUAUAUAUAAAUAUAUAUGUGUAUGUAUUUACACUCGUCAGACUCCUUGUACGAAUUCUAUGAAUAAAAUAGAAAAAUAGAAAUUCAUACAAGGCUACUACGCUUGGGUCUAACGAUCACGUCACACCAUAACGGAAUUUUACCUCAUUAUGGCGGAAAAGCACGAGUGUUUAUACGUGUAGACUCCCUAUAUGAAAACCUAUAUGAAUCGGAUAAGAAAGUAGUUUUCAUAUAGGGCUAUGAUGCUUGUGUCCAACACUCACGUCACGCCGUAAUAGAAUUUUACCUCAUUAUGAUGGACCAAGCACGUAUGGCUAGCUAGCAUUUAUAUACAUACUAUACUCAUAAACAUCCAAUAUACAUAUCCACCGAAAAUCUCAUUUUCGGUAACUCUCCAAAAGAUGAAAAUUGCCAAAUAUCAAAAAAAGCAAUAAAUUUCAGCAGAAGAAUAACUGAUCAACAAUAGAAUGCAUCGCAUGCUUUUAAUUAAAACAAAAGUUCACUCACAGUGAUUCUGUUGCAUUUGCUGUCAAGACAAGACAACGAAGACGAGCUCGGAAAAUCCUCCUAUUCUUUUUCGAUUUAACCCCCUUCUUUCACUUCUAAGAAUGCACAGUAAAGUCCCUAAUAAAAACUAAAGGGUAAGAGAACAAUAUAACCAACUCCCCUUCAUAACCAUUGAAACCAAUUCUCUUAUAUCCUUUUAAUUAAACAAACACACACAUGACUCCCAAAACAAUAAUACCCUUAACUACCAUUUAACUUAGGAGAUUCACCUCUCGGUCAAAAUGGCAAAUGCACCCAAAAUACUCUUUGCAUUCAGAAGUUUUCAUUGUGCACCCAAACCUUUCCUCUAGUCCAAGCCUACAUGCAACCCCACAAUUCCAUAAUUAUAUUCAAAACUCACAACACAAUUCCGAAUUCAAUAGCCGAGAAUUAAAACCUUCUCACCUUGCGGUUUCAAAAGAUUAACACACGGUGCUCCUCCAAUUACUCUUUGCACCCAAAGUGGAAAUUAGCAUCCAACACCAAUCUUCAUUUGCUACACUGCCCUCCACCAAAACUAAACCCAAUAAUAACAUUAACUCCAUCUCCCUAUCCAACACCAAUCUUUCUAACUGUUAAUUUGCUGCCACCUAUUAAUGUAAAAACACUUGAAGUUUAUCUUCCAGUGCCAGUAGUUGUUUUUAAACUUGAUGCCCAAGUUUAAGCUGCUCACUCGGCAGCUAUUUGCAACCCACAAGUCUGAUUGAGGUUUUCAGACUUUCACUUGUGAUUGGCUGCAUGUAGUCAUGUGUUAGGCAUAAGCUAGCAAGUAGGUGAACCAGCAUUUCAAAUAAGACAAAGCAGCAAUCCAAAUUAUUGUUAUUAUUAUUAUUAUUAUUUUUUUUUUAAGUUUGGGGUUUCACAGAACGUCACGGGGUUAAGACUUAACAUGGAUCUCCUGGAAGAGCGCCGCGACAGGGUACACCUCAGGAAUGUCAACUACAAACAAAAGAUUGCUCAACACUACACCAAGAAAGUUGUUCCCCGCCCCCUAAAGGUAGGCGAUUGGGUUAUGAAGGAAGUCAUUCCCCACCCCACUGGACUCAAAUCAAAGUGGGAAGGCCCUCUCGAGAUAGUCAAUGCCUCAGGACCAGCUACAUUCUAUCUCCGGGACACUGAUGGCUGAGUACUACCCCGCACCUGGAACGCUCUCCACCUCCACCUCUACCCCAUUUAAAUUAACAGACCCGGCAUAGUAGCUAGUACUUCAUUAUUGUGUACUUCAACCCGUUAGUGGCUCACAUUAAGUGUACACCUUGCCCAUUAGCGGCCUACCCUAAAUGAAGAUGUUAUGUUUUUUAUCAUUUUUAUAACAUACCGUAUCAAGAACACGAAACAACAAAGCAAACAGUAGUCCACAAACAAAAGCAUUCAUUAAAACAAAUAAGAAUCAACAUGGACUCCUAAGCAAUGCAUAAAAAACAAAUUGUUCAGAUGGCUAACAUUGUUUUACAAGCAAACAAAAGAAAGCAAAUAAACCUAACAAUAACAGCAAAUUACAAAGCAUCAUCAUUUCUCCCCAGAGGACGCGCCACUUGACUUAUUCACGCUUCUGCCACUCCUUGAACCGCUACCACACCCACGACUGUGGCUGAUAUUCACCGACACCCUCUGUCCAUAAGCAUGCUUAGAGCGGUCACGUGACGUUGGUGGAGGCCUCACUGAAACAUUAGGGCGCACCAGGGAACUCACUUGUUGCACCUCAGUGAUAGGGGACUUGCUCGCUGAGGUCUUUUGCACUUCAGAACGCGGUGGCGCCACAAGUCUAGGUGCUUGAGGGAUAGUUGGUUCAAUAACAGAGGAUGUGACCUGAGAUACCACCACUUGAGCAGAAGGGGAUCCCUCAGGACGCGAAGCCCUUAGUGGAGAAGCAACGAUCACCGCAAGUGGCUGAGGCGUACCCACAGUAGGAACUUCUUUUGGCACGGCAGAGGAUGUAGCGCGCUAGGCCUCAUGCUGCUUAGCCAGAGAUCAAGAGAUCUCAGCUUGCUUCCUUUGCUCUGAGGUCAUCUGUUCCCAAGCCUUCUUCGCCACAUCCCUCUCGGCAUACCACUUGCGGAUGGCCGCUUCAUUUAUCCAGCCAAUUUGGCACCAGUCUUGCUUAGCUCAUCUUGUCCCCGGUUAUAAGCGCUCCUCAGUUGCUGCUUACACACUUCACUCUCCCGAAACACCCUCUCCCCAGCCCCAGCAGCCCUUGCACACUUCAGCUUCCACACUCUCUCUUACUUCGCCAGGGCUUGCGUUAACCUCGCCACCUCAGCUUCCAGAGACACCGCCUUGGCAAUGGCCACCUCCCCAGCCUCCACCUGCUUGUUUUUCUCCUGCACAGCUUCCUUCAACUCAGCCACCUCCUUCCCAGAUGCAGCAGCCUGAUCUCGGAAGAUAGCAACAUCUUGCUCCAGACGCUGCGAGAGGGCUCGGUUAUUCUCUUCCGCCUCCCUCAACUGCUGGCAUUUAGCCUCGGCAUCCCCCUGCAAGUGAGCAACAACCCUCUCACUUGCAGCAUACAUCAGCAGCGUCGCCUGCAGACAGCACCAAAAUGUAAGCAAAAAGGCAGGGAACUAAAGGACAAAAUGACCAUUGUGCACACUUACCCGAGUUAGUUUCUCCUUGGCAAGAGCUACACAAGCUAGAGGAUCAAUCUCCUCCAUGCAUGGAUGUCACGAGAGCGGUGACACAUGUCAUAUGCCAUCUGAGCUAGGGAAGGCUGCACCUCCCCGGUCCCCUCUAGAGCUUGGGUGAUCUCGGCCAGGCUCCCCAAGCUCUUGGAACGCCCCUCCUUACGGGACUUCUUUGGUUGGCCUUCACGUGACGACUCGACCCUUUCUUUCCUCUUUCGGGUCCUUGUCAUGACAACCUCUUCUUACCCUUGCCCAAUGGGUUCCACCUCCUUCACCACAACAUCCUCGCCACCAGUUUGGGGCUCACCCACAUUACCCAAAGACGUAUCUUCCACUCCUACUGGCUCCGCAUAAGCUCUUCCUCCACCGGAACCUGCUCAUGAUAGUCCCCGUGGUCGCCACCCUCAGUGUCCGUUUCCUCGUCAUUCACCUCUUGAUCACCCAAGCCCAUAUAUUGCUUCUGCCACCAAGGGAGGCAAAUAAGCAUAAUCCUCGUCCGCCAGCUUCAACCUCAAAAAAUCAUCCUCACCCUCAUCCAGCUCCACCUCUUUCCUCUCGCUAGUCUCCAAGUCGAUAUCGUACCGCUUGACAUGAUCAACCUUGGCACGUAACCCAUCCAGUACGUCCUCAUCCGACACCUUGUCAUAAGGACCUUCCUUCUUCCGCGACCCACCGUCCCGAGGCAUUGUCACUACACCAAACAAAAGAUGAGGAUCAAGUAGAGACCAGAAAGCAUAACCGAAAUGACUAUAUAUGCCAAGGCAGCAUAUCCGAUACGAGCUCCUAGACUCGAAUGCCCACAGCACCCGGCGUAUUCGACGCUCCAUCAGCUCGGUUAAUUUAUACUCUUGGGGCAUGACUUGUAUACAAUUCAUGCAAGCGAACGUAUCGUUGUCAAGAUAGGGAAGUAUUUGUGCCCAAGUUAUCGUACCAUGGGGAUUAGUGGCUAACCCACAAUCCUAAGCUAAUCGGAACAAAAGUCACUAAGCAAACAAAGAAAAAGAAAAAAAAUACUACUCUAAAGCACCAAGCCUUAGCAAUGCUCGGCCUCAGUUAUCACCAAAGCCUAAUCAAUACUAAAUGCCUAGUGAUGGGUAAUUACAAUGAGUCGAUAUAUAAAAUGGAGAUUGAAUGGGGAAUUAACUAAAUUGACGAAAAACUAAAUAAAAAUAAACUACUAACUAAUGAACUAGAGAAUGAUGAGAACAUGGGAGUGUCGGGUGAUUCACACUAACUCAUAUGCAAACAUCGAUACCAAUUUCACAAAUGCAUAUCCUAUUGUAUCAAAUCCCGUAUCUAAUACCGGUUAAGGCUACUAGACCAAUUAUCCUUUCGGUGUAUCGAUUAUGCCGGUUAAGGCCACAAUCAACUCUCUAACAUGGGCAUUACAUCGGUUAAGGCCGUAACAUCCAAAUUAGAGGCCUAGAGUGCAAGAUAAUAGAGACCCAAGCAAGCUUAGCUACAAUCAAGCUAGCUAAUGGUUACCACACUUCAAAUCCUAGAUGCACAAGACUAAUAAGUUGUCAAUUUAUCAAUCUAUCCAUCAAAUUGUCCACAACAUAAUCUCAAAGGGUGACAAAACCUAGAAACAUAUUUCUAAGGACCAACACAUUCAGAUUCAAAGCAUACACAAUGUAAAUUGCAUUUAUAUCAAUCAAAGUACCAACAUUAUACAAAAUGAGUUUAGGGCUUCAAUACCCUAACUCCCAAAAUUAAAUCACUCACAACCCAUAGUCAAAUAGAUCAUCAAUAGCAUAUAAGUUAAAUAGCUAUCAUUCUAGCAUUGGUAUGGCGCCCUUUGAGGCUCUUUAUGGGAGGCAGUGUCGUACGCCUUUGUGUUGGAAUGAAGUAGGGGAAAAAGAGCUUUGUGGCCCAGAGUUAAUCCAUGUUACGAAUGAGAAGAUUAAAGUGGUUAGAGAUAGACUCAAGACUGCUCAGAGUAGGCAGAAGAGUUAUGCGGAUGUCCGUAGGAGAGAUCUUGAAUUUCAAGUGGGUGAUUGGGUGUUCCUGAAAUUAUCUCCUUGGAAAGGGGUUGUGCGUUUCGGUAAGCGUGGGAAGCUUAGUCCGAGGUAUAUUGGCCCUUAUGAGAUUAUAGAGCGAGUUGGCUCACUUGCUUAUCGAUUAGCUUUGCCUCCAGAGUUAUCCCGGAUACAUAAUGUGUUUCAUGUAUCCAUGCUUCGCAAAUAUAUUGCCGAUCCUUCUCAUGUGCUGCAAGAGCAGCCGAUCAGUUUAACGAGAGAUUUGACCUAUGAAGAGGAACCGGUUCAGAUUCUCGACCGAAAGGAGCAAGUGCUUAGGAAUAAGACAAUCCCGCUUGUCAAGGUUCUGUGGAGAAGUCAUCAAGUAGAAGAAGCUACUUGGGAAUCAGAGGAGCAAAUGAUGCAGCAGUAUCCGUAUCUCUUCGGAUGACAUGUAUGUUAAUUUCGAGGACGAAAUUUUUAUAAGGAGGGGAGAAUUGUCACAUCCCGACCCUUAUAUUUUUACCUUAUUUACUAGCGUGAUUAUUAUAAGAAUUUUACCGUCCCAGUCAUGGAGUAAAUAGUUUAAUUGGUCCCUAGAGGGGUUUCGGGGACGAUUAUGUGCGGAGGAUAAUUCGUAUGGGGAAAAUACGACGACGGUAAAAAUAGUAAAUUUUAGCUAGUAAAAGGUAAUUUUUAUUCGGGUAUUAUUUUUCGGGGUGUUUUUAUUUUUGGAAGUUUGGGUUAAGUGUUGUGGACUGGGUUGGGGUGAGGCCCAAAACCCUUUUUCUCUUCUCCCUCUCUCCCGAUUUUCUCUCCUCCCACCCGGUUUUCCCCUCUCUACACCCAGAAGAAUUUCCGGCCGUCCUUCCGCCGCCGUCCGACCUCCGUUCGCCGCCGGACCGGUCCCGUUCGGUCGGUCUCCCUCCCAGCAACAUUUCUAGACCGGUGAGAGGAGCCCUAGCUCCGCCGUGAGAGAGCGGUGCCACCCGAAAGCUCCGACUGCCGAAUCGGUUUUCUCGCCGGAACUUCCUCCUCCGGCCACCAAUCCGGGCAAGCUUGGUACGGUUUUGUAGCCCUCCUCCCGUGCAACAACCCCUCCAAACAGCUCCCUCCCUCUUGAGCUAGGUAAGGAGAAAUUUGAGGUGGAAGUUUUAUGGUGUUUAAGUUGUUUUCGUUCGAUUAGCCUAGUUAGGCUUGGAAUUGGGUGAUGUGUUAGUCAUGAAAGUUGUAGAGGAGAUUGAGAGGAAGAUUCUGUUAAAAUUUGGUAGCAUUUGCAGGUUGCCGGAAAACGGCUGCCGGCCGCCGCUGCCGGCGCCGGCGCCGGUUAGGAGAUUUUUAGGGUUUUAAAUGUGGAAUAUUAAGAGGAGUAUAUUGGUGUGAUUUAUGGAAUUUUUGGAUGAGAUUUGGUUAGGUUUGUGAAUUUCCGAAGUUUGGUAUUUUUGGCGGUUAAUUAAUGUAGAAUCCGGCCGUAGGAUUUAAGUCGUAUUUUGGAGAGGUUGUAUUUACGACUGUUGAGUAUGAUAUUUAAGUUCGGAUCGUUCCGAUGUAAGAAUAUCGAAGUUAGGCAAUGAUGAGCGUAAUUAUGGCUCUCGGGUAAUUUUGCCUAUUUUGAUUAAAUAUUGGAUUUUUUUGGUUGGGAAUUAAUAUUAUAUUUGGAACAGGACGUGAGGAGGCUCGAGCAGACGAGACCCCAGAUCGGCAUCAGGCUUAGGCCUAAUUUGUGAGUGGACGUUUAUUUUAAAUAAAUGCGUGCUAAAGUUCACGAUUGAAUAAUUAAUGUCGUGGAGUAUUUUGACGUCAUUUUAAUUUUUGACGAUUUUUAUUUCUCGCGGAGAGAUACCGAAAAUGGGAUUUUCGGUGGAUAUAAAUAUGUAUUUAUGAGAGAGUAUGUAUAUAAAAUGCUAGCUAGCCAUAUGUGUCUGUCCACCUUAAUGGCGUAGCAUGUAGCCGCAUUAUGGUGUGACGUGAGCGUUGGACGUAAGCGUAGUAGCCAUAUUUGAGUGUUUAAUUCAUAUAGGGGGUAUGGACACAUAUUUAUACACCCGUCUGUCCACCUUGAUGGCGUAGUGUAGCACCGCAUUAAGGCGUGACGUGAGCGUUGGACGCGAGCGUAGUAGCCCUAUAUAGACCCAUGAAUUUAUAUAGGGAGUAUGGACGAGUGUAAAUACAUACAUAUAUUAUAGAGUCUAAGAGGCUCGAUAUUUUAUGGGAUAAAAGUUUUAUCGCUUGCGGCAUGCAUUCGAUUUUUCCUUAGAAAUUAAUUUGGGGAAACAUAAAUAUUUUAUUUAUUAUUUUAUUUUUGUCCACUCACUCUAACGUUAUUAAAUGUUUUCCCCUGGGCCCUUCGUUUUAAAUUGCCCAGUCUGCAGAGUUCGGGUUGGAUCUAGUAGGAGACGAGGCAUAGUCACCCGCAUUUCUGCCAGUUUUCGCCAGUAGGUUACCUGUUCAACCUACUCGUGUUUUCUUGCUUCCGCUUGUGUUUAGUAGCUCUGAAUACUUUAGAAUUUUUGUAUAGUAUGCGAUGUUCAGAAGUGAUAAAUUAAGAGUGUAAUUUGAAAUUUUCGAGUUAGGGUUGUCCAUCUGCAAGGGAGAUUUUCUUAAUCUUUUCAGUAAAUUUUCCUUGGAGGUGGUCCCCGCACGACUUACUCUGGGUUUCAGGGUGAAAUUCGGGGUGGGUCGUGUCAUCGGAGCUAUUUUUAAUAAUAUUUGGAAGUUGGUAUUAUCCAGAAAUUUAUUAAAAAUAAUAUUCUAAGUCGGUUUAAUCUCAGCCGUUAGAUUGGGAAUACAUAUACGUUUGGGUUAGAUUGUAAAACAGAAGAACCGAGCUUGGACCGACUCGGUCUCGAGUUGCGAUUCCUCCUCCGUCGAGCGGCUGUCUCUCGACAUCCAACCGGUGGCCAGAGCUCCAUAUCGUCGUCCCCAACAUGACUGUGUUGUUAGAUUUCCAAAACAAGCUCGGAGAAGGGAGAAUCGAGUAGAAGAAGGAUUUCUGGGUUCGCCGGUGAUCUUCGGAUUCCGGCCACGGCGGUGAGCAUGAACGGUGCUGGUAGCUUUGCCUCAACUCCCUGAACAUCGUUGUGCUAUUGGUUUUUGAAUAGAAGCCUUGAGGAGGGAGAAUCGAACCUCAAAAGUUUUUAGGGUUUUCCGGUCGUGUUCUUCAUUUUCCGGCGAGCUUCAAGUAUCAAUUCAGGUAUCAAAGUUGGUCCAUUUGUCGAACUCUACCUGUUUAUAUGCUUGAAUUCGAGUUUGAUUAAGUUUUGGAGAAGUUGGUGUUUGGGCAGACGUCAGCCGCCGUGAGUACUGCUGUGUACGGCGAUGACAGGUGGUGGUUCUUGUAGUUUCUGGUUUUUCAUAGUAUACUGAUUGUGGAGGGAUGCUUUGAUAUGUAUUUGAAUGGCAGGAGAUUGAAAAUUGGAUGAAGUGGGUUUUGGGGCAGUGUUGUUCGGUGGCGAAAAUGAUGGUUGAUAGUUCUGGGUUUGGUUUAUGUUUUGGAUGAAAUUGCAGGACAUGAUGUUGGUGUUGUAUAUGCUUGAAGUCUAGAAAUGGAAGAGUUGGGAAGUAGAGGAUUCAAGUCGAAUUGUGUUGUUGGAAUGAAGAACAGUAGUGUUCUUCUAUUCAUUGAAGUGCUUGAAUUCAAGAGUUUGAAAGUUGAUAUCGGCAAAAUAGAACAUGGGUGUCCAUAGUAGAUUUGGAGUCAAGUUGGUACUUGGAGCGCAAUUUGGAUAUGAUGACGGCAUUGAGCGUAAAGGCGAAUAAGAAUGUGGAAAUAAAUUGAAAUGAGUACAUUUGAUUCGGAAAUCAUUGGAAAAGAAAAAGGAUUCGGUACGAGGAUCGAAUGCGAGUAGCUGGAUUGCAGAAGGAUAAGGAUUUCUGAAUGUGUGUUGCAAAGUUACUAAUUUUAGCUAGUGUCAGAAGUAGCACUUGGAUUCCAGGUAGGGUCUCUCUCGGGGAACUUUUCUUUAAAUCGGUAAUUAGAUUUUAAUUGAAAUGGGUGAUUUGUGUGUCAUUGAGUGAUUAACUCUUGGUUGUUACCAUUUUCGAUAAAAGUAUGUGAUAUCGUUGAAAUAUAUGAACGAUGUUUUCGCUUAUCAGAAAAGAAUGUAUUGAAUGUUAUGAUAUGAGUAUUGAUAUUUGUUGCAUACAUUUUGCAUUGUGAGAAAUUGUGAGAUUAGUGAGAAUGGUGAUUAUGGAGAUGUGAAUGAGAUUUGAUAGAAUGGAUACAUUUUGUGUAGUUGAGUUUCCUGAUGGGUUGUCCAAGAUCCAAGGUAGCCCACACGUGCACAAAUUCAGGGAAUGUAUGCCUUUCGAUGGCAGACAUCGACAAAACGAUCUUAUCGGGUUUCGGGUUUGGAGGCCAUGAGUAUAACAAGAUGACUAACAAAAGAGGUACAAGCGGUGAGAUAUUACUGAUUGUUAGAUCAUAUAUUCGAGACAUCUGAGUCACCCCCGGUUGGUAAAAUACACGGUAUGGGACGUGUAGGCUCACAUGUCUUUGAUGUAUGGACUGAAUGCCAGUAAUCGAGGAAGUCAUUCAUUAGCAUAAAUGCAUCAAAUUUUCGUUAUAUAUUUAAAGUAUUGUUUGAUUGUUUGAUAACUUGUUUGUGCGAAGUAGUUAAGAAUAACUUAAGAAGGUUAGGCCCUACUGAGCGUAAGCUCACCCCUAUAGAGUUUUUGUUCAGGUUUGUACGAGGACACAUGUUUCUAGAAGACUAACUGUGACGUUAGCUUAAGUGUACAAGAGACGAGAAGUACUGAAGAUUAGAAGCCUCAAGACCUAUUUUGUUUUUGUAAUUGGUUUUGUUAUUUGUAAACGUUUUAUUUUCUUUUAUUUCUGGAAAAGUAGUUGAAAUUUGUAUUAUUUUUUUUACUUUUCCCGCUCACGCCUCGGGUUCGGCGUCAGGUGCUUGGAAACCACUGACACCGGGUUCGGGGUGUGACACCACACGUAUAUACACCCAUCCUCUUCGGUCAUAAUGAGGAAAAAUUUGAUUAUGGCGUGACGUGAGCGUUAGAUGCAAGACUCGUAGCCUUGUAUGAAUUUCUAUUCUUCUACUUUGUUCAUAGAAUUCAUACAAGGAGUCUGACGAGUAUAAAUACAUACAUAUAUAUAUAUAUAUAUAUAUUUAUGUAUAGUUUAGCCUGAGAGGCUCCAUUUUAUUGAGUUUUGGAGACUGGCCGGAGGUAGUCAUGUAUUUGCCAGUUUGUAAGUAAAAAGCUUUGAGCUGUUGCAUGCAGCAUAAUUUCUAUGAAAAUUAAAUUGGGAAUGCAUAAAUAUUUUUAUUGAAUUCAUUUUUGUCUACUCACUUUAACGUUUGCAAAUGUUUUCCCCUGGGCCUUUAUUUUAAAAUGCCCAGUAUGCAGGUUAGCAUAGUUGAGGUCGAGCGUACAUGGAGAAGAGGCAUAAUCAAUAGUAUAGCUUUCGCUUAUUUUUAUAUUUCUAGUUCCUUUCCUCUCAAUUAGAGUUGCUCUGAACUGUGAUUGUUGGUUGUGGGAUUAUUCUUAUUAAAGUUAGUAAAUAAAUUGGGAGAUGUUGUGUCACACCCCGGUUCUUAAGUUAUUUUACGGUUAUUUACUUUGGUAUUAUUUUAGUCUUUUACCGUGUUGAAUAACCGUUUAUUACCUAAGGACCCUAAAGUUGACUUUCUUUUCCGUUUAGAAUUUGGAGAAACUUUCUUCAUGAAAGUUGUAGAGGACGUUAAUAUGAGUUCGUAGACAUGCUAAGUGUUAAAAUCGGAGUUAGCAUGAAAAAGUUAUUAUCUAAAAGAGUAAAUUUUUGAGGUGGUAAAAGAAGGUAUUUUUUUAGUGGGUAAAAUUUAUUGGGUUUAAGGGUUAUGGAUUGGCUGUGAGCAGCCCAUAUCCUCCUUCACUCUCUCUCUUUCUCCCUUCCCUCUUUUCCCCGAGCUCCCCGAGCCCCUCUCCGCCGGAAGCUCCCAGCCACCAGCUGCCAUCGUCCGGCCAGCGUUCGGCUGCUGCUCCAGCCCAGUUCGGACCCCCAUCUCCUCCUCUCCCUCCCCGGCCUAGCCCCCGAGCCUCUAACCCGCCGGAAGAGGAGAAAACCCGCCGGAGACGCCGGGAAGCAUUUCGCCGAAAAUCCCAUUUCCGGCCACCAAAACUUGCAAUUCUUAGCUCAUUUUGUAGCUCUCAUCAAGGUGAGUAUCCCCUCAAAAGGAAUAAAUCUUUCUCGUUGUGGUUACGGAGAAAUGUAUAAUUGAAGUUUUAGGGAUUUUUGAUGUUUUUAGUCGAUUACCCUAGUUAGCCUGAGAAUUGGACUAAGUGCUAGUUAGGAAAGUUGUUGUGCUUGAUAAGAGGAUUAUUCUGUUAAACUUUGGUAGAAAUUGGAGGUCGCCGGAAUCGGCCUCCGGCCGUCGCUGCCGGCCGAGCCGGCGCCGGCGCAGGAGCUGUUUGGGAGAUUUUAAUGUUUUUAGAUUUGGAAUAUUAAGGGGAGUUUAUUGAAGUGAGUUAUGGAAGUUUUGGAUAGGUUUGUGAAUUUCCGAAGUUUGGUAAUUUUGGCAGUUAAUUAAUAUAGAAUCCGGCCGUAGGAUUUAAGUCGUAUUUUGUGGGAAGUUGUUUUUACGGCUGCCGGUAUGUUCGGUGAAGUUUGAACCGUAUUGAGUUAAGAAUGGCGAAUUUGGGCAAUGAUGAGUGUGUGGGAGGCUCACGUUUAAUUUUGCCCAUUUUGUUCAAUUAUUGGAUUUUUGGUGGGAAAUUAAUUAUAUAUUUGGAACAGGACGAGAGGAGGCCCGAGCAGAGGAAGCCUCGGAGCGUCAUCAGGCUUAGGCCUAAGUUGUGAGUGGACCUUUAUUUUAAUUGAAAAGCAUGCGAUGAAUUAUCUGUUGAUCAUUUAUGUCUUUUCCUGAGAUUUAUUUAUUUCUCGGAUAUUUGGCAAUUUUCCUCCUUUGGAGAGAUCCCGAAAAUGAGAUUUUCGGUGGAUAUGUUUAUUGGAUGUUUAUGAUGAUAGUAUGUAUAUAUAAAUGCUAGCUAGCCAUACGUGUUUGAUCCGCCAUAAUGAGGUAAAAUACCAUUAUGGUGUGACGUGAGUGUUAGACACAAGCGUAGUAGCCCUAUAUGAAAAAUAUUUUCUUAUUUGGUUUAUUUAAGUUUUCAUAUAGGGAGUCCACACGUAUAUACACUCGUGCUUUUUCCGCCACACUGAGGUACAAUUCUAUUAUGGUGUGACGUGAGCCUUAGACGCAAGCGUAGUAGCCUUGUAUGAAUUUCUAUUUUUCUAAUUUGUUCUUAGAAUUCAUACAAGGAGUCUGACGAGUGUAAAUACAUACACUUAUAUAUGUUUAUAUAUACUUUAGCCUGAGAGGCUGUAUUUUAUUAAGUUUUGGAGACUAGCCGGUGCUGGUCGUGAAGUUGUCAGUUUUUGAGUUGAGCGCUUUUGAGUGAUUGCAUGCAGUAUUAUUUUAUUUGGAAAUUAAAUUGGGGAAGCAUAAAGAAAUACUUUUAUUUUAAUUUAUUUUUGUCUACUCACUCUAACUGUUCCACAUGUUUUCCCCUGGGCUCUUCGUUUUAAAUUGCCCAGUCUGCAGAGUUCGGGUUGGAUCUAGUAGGAGGCGAGGCAUAGUCACCCGCAUUUCCGCCCGUUUUCAUCAGUAGGUUACAUGUUUAACCUACUCGUGUUUUCUUGCUUCUGCUAGUGUCUAGUAGCUCUGAAUACUUUGGGAUUAUUGUAUUUUAUGUUUAGAAUUUCUGAAGGUUAAUUAUGUGAUGUUUGGACGUGUUGUAUUAAUAGUGUAUUUUGGAAUUUUCGAGUUAGGGUUGUCCAUUUUCAAGGGAGAUUUUAUCAAUCUUUUCAGUAAAUUUUCCUUGGAGGUGGUCCCCGCACGACUUACUCCGGGUUUCAGGGUGAAAUUCGGGGUGGGUCGUGUCAUGUUGUGAUGUGGGCAGCACGAAGGCUCUAGGAGUAGAAGGUUGUAGAUGGAUUUUUUUGAAGUGUAUGCAUGUAUUAUUAGGAAGGGUUGUCUAUUUUCAAGGGAGGUUAUACCGAAUUUUUUCGGUAAUAUUUUUUUUGGAGGUGGUCCCCGCAGGAUUUACUUCAGGUUUCAGGGUGAAAUUCAGGGUGGGUCUUGACACAGAAGCUGAAGAUACUAGGAGCUGAAAAUACUUACCUGUCUUCCGUACCGUCUCUCCCAAACAGGGCCAAACAAACUAGAUGGCAAAUCCACAACCCAACCUCUGCCGCUCAGAUUGGGCCUGACACGAAGUACGUUCUCGCCCAUCCAACGACACCGCCUCAAGGAUGUGUCGUCGAACUGGGCAUGCACUAUGAACAAGGGGCUGCUAGAUAGGGUUUUGAAGAGAAAAGUCUCUUUGUUUUAUCAAUUCUUGUUAAAAUUUGUAGCCCUGAUUUGAUGUCAACAGGUGAAAUCAAUCCUAAAAAUUAAUCAAAUAGUAAUUAAUCAGAGAUCUCCAAUGACCUAAUGUAUGGAUUUGUUACUAAGACAAUUGCGGUAACAAAAUUUGGGUACAAGGUUGGUUGUAACAGCUUGGAAACAGUCCCGCAUUGAUCAAAAAGAACAAAUUGUUUUUUUUAUGGAAGGGCCCUUACGACCAAUUUCAUUGAUCAAAAGCCAAAAUGGCGCGGAUACAUGCUUUCCCUUGCCAAACGUUUGGGAAAGUUAAUGACUUGACAUGGCAUGCUAGUACCAUUCAUUACAAAUUCCACUCACUUAAUUCGAUACAGAAAAGAAAAAAGUGAACCUAAUUAGACCAUGAAACAAAUCACAACAAUUAGGCACACACACAAAAUGCUUAGACUCCUAAAAAAGGAAUUAUUGUAAAUAGACAAGCUACAUACUUAGAAAAUGAGCUAAGGCAUGAACCCUAGCCCAAAUCUAGGCCCAAGCAACUCCAAAAUGGCCCAACCCAAAGCUCGAACAAGGGAGACCCAUGCCUGCAUCCACCACACCCUUUGCCGUCACUACUUCCCAAAGCAUCUUUGAAUCCUUCGUCCACGCCAUCGCCAUCCGAAACGAGUCAGAUCCACCAUGACCCUUACCACACAUGACAACAGCCAUGAUACCAUCAAUUUGCACCGAUCCAACAAGCUUCGCUGUCGACAAUAGAUAGCAAAAAAAUUCUGACGAAAACACGCCGUCGCAAUGCUCAGAUGAAAACAUGCCGCCGCAGGACUCAAAGCCAACAAGCCCCGAUCCCUUCGCUCAAAACUUCAAGCCAAAAAAACCAUGAAGAAACUACUUGGCAACUUGUAGAUCCCGUCCGACGGUCUCUACUCGGAGUCAUCAAAGCCCAAAGGCCAGCCUCUAACCGAGUUCGGCCACCGGAUGAGAUGGAGAUUUGGGUGUGGGAGUCGAGUGUCUUUCGGUUAUGUGUCUUGACCUAAUCGUUUCUUUAUUAUAAUAGAUUACAACAAAAUAACAAAAUGACAUGACAUGGACAAAGAAAAACGUGGUGUUAUAAGAAGUACAACACGAACAAUCAUAGAAAGUGCCAUAUAAGUUGAAGAAGCGGAGACACCAAUGCAAAGAGGAGUUAGCUACACUUCACUAGACUACAGAUUACAGAAUAAAUACAUAGAGCGAGGGAGUGUGUGAGGAAGAAAAGGGAUCAUGUUCCAUUGCCAGCCAAUCGUUCAUAAAUAUACGUCCCCCAUCUUUGUAAUUACCCAAAAAGCCCACUUCAAAGCUGGCACACCCAAACCUCAAAAACUUAAAUAAAAAAUAAUAAUAAUAAAAAGAAAAUAGAAACGGGAUGUUGUGGACUGUAGGAGCACUCUGCACUCCUAUUGAAGAAGCACCGCCCAAUUACUAAACUAGCAGCAUUUUUUCAGUCUUAGACCUAUUUUUGAAAGAUAAUAGUAAUUAAAAAUAAAUAGAAUAAUAGUUUUGGGAUUUGAGUAGUGCCCCCAGAUUAUGUAUUACAGAAAACAACCAAAUGGAGUGGCGCCCAUGUUCUAGUCAAUAUCAAAAUUCCCCACUUGGUCAAUCACCAAACCCCCGCUCUCUCUCCACUGCCCUACUCCCCUCGUCCCCUCACUAUCUUUAAGAUCAUAGCAAUCCCACAUCACAUAUCAACAUGCUUAACUGAUUUCUGAAAUUCUAGGGUUAUAAAAAAGUAACCCAACAUUUUUCUAUUUAACCCUUUCCCAAAAAAAUCAACUCUAAACUUUGAUUGAUCGUAACUUUAUCGUACGACAUCCGUUUUACGCGUGCCACAUGUCUACGAACUCGUAUCGCCGUGCUCUACAAAUUCCGUGAAAGAAGUUUCUUGAGAAACCCAAUGAAUAAAAAGUCAACUAAAAAGUCAACCAAAUAAAAUAAAUAAAUAAUAAUAGAAACUAGUAUCUAAAUUCCGGGGUAUUACAUGUACUCUUGGUUUACCUUAUGUGAUGUUGGGUUGAGUCCGUUAAUGUAGAUUUACUCAUACGACCUGUUAAAGCUUACCGGGUUUGUUGUUUAUAACCCGGUGCACUAAUUCAUGAUGUAGGGGUUAUACCUGCAAGUGAUGAUCAGCAGGGUUGAGGCGGAGGCAUAGUAGCUGGGUUCUAGAGGCUGUACAUUUUAUUUUUAAUAUUAUGGCUGUUUGUUUUUACGCUCUUGCAAGCGACUGUAUUUUACUAGACUUUUUGAAGUUGAUGUAAUUAAGGAGAGAUAAUGUUUAACUCAGUUAAUGAGUUUUGUUGACAUUUACAUUUCUAGCAUUUGAUUUUAGUUGGAAGUUGUUAAGCAGGUUUUGGAAUAUUAAGAUUUUGAGUUAUAUCAUGCCCAAAUUUUUGAAAAUUAUCCUUAAAAAAAUUGGGGUGUGACAAAUGACAUCCAUUACGAGAGCAUAUCUCAUCCCAGUGCGUGUUAGUGAGAGACCUAGCGCUAUAAGGUGAGUAUAAGCUUUUGUUCUUACUACGCUAUCUAACAAACACUACAAGAAUUCGGGGCAUUUACCGAGCAAAAUUUAUGGUGUGCACCAAUGCACACCGUAUUAUGUGCUCUUUUAUGGCGUGCUUUUAAUGCGUGUCGUAAAAAACCUCUGACAUGUAUUCUUUUACUGCGUGCUUUUAAUGCAUGCCAUAAAUGACCAAUCACAUUAAGUCUUUCGUUGCACGCAUGUAUAACGUGCCGUAAUCGUGAUAUGUUUUUACUGCACACAUAUCAAAUGUUUUCCUCUUCUAAGAAGUCCCGCACCUUUGCAAAGCCUCAAACGUCAACCCCCAAACCUCAAUAAUCUCGAUAGAGUUAGAAAGAAGCUCUAAUCCUCCAUCGAAUUCUACAAUGAGUUGCAAACCGGAAAGCCUGCAAAUCGGUUUCUAGGGAUUUCUGGCUGUGGUGGUGCAAGGUAGGUUUGUUUCUUCUUCUUCUUCUCUCUUAUCUUAAUCGAUUUUUGUAUUCUACUUUCUCUUUGAAGCGAUUAGAAUCGCUGAAACCCUUAAUCCUUUUAUUUCUCCGGUUAUGAAUGUCGUUGUUUCAACCCCAGCCGUCAGCCUUCCUCAUCAAUCGCAGCCCCAAACUAUCGUCGGCCACAAACUCUUGGGCUAUCAGACUUCGUGACAUUCGUUGUUGUGUACGGCUGAGAUUGUGAUUCUUAAUCAUAAAAUUCAGGUAUGGCUAAUAGUAAUCCCUAUUAUAGUGUGGGAUUGUAAAUUUCACAGUAAUGUCAAAAGUAAUUUUCUUUUAUAACCUAAGUAAGCUGUGAGUAGGUUGUUAAGUGUUUCAUUGUUAUGUCGAUUGCAAUAUGCUUAUAUGCAGAAGUGUAAAUGUAUUUUUUUGCUAGUAUCAAUUUUGGGAGUGUAAUGAUCUCAAUUUUAUUUAGGUUUAUUUAUCGAAUUGCUUUUGUGUGUUUUUUUUUUCUCUGACUAGGAUUUUGAUUUUGAUUAUAUUUUGGACUACCAAUUAUAUUUCCAAAUUAGAUUUUCUUUUCUACGUGUAUAGUUGUUCUUUAUUUAAUUUUGGGUGAAAAUAUUUAUUUGGGUCUAGAACUAUCCAGUCAUCAUCAGAAGCAGAACACGUUGCCCAUUCUUUUUCGUUCACGUGUCCCUAACUGAUUUCUCCAGAAUUUACUCGUCAGUCUCUCUUCCUCUUCUCCCUUCUCUUCUUGUUCUUCUUCCCCUUUUCUCUACUCUUCACUUCUGUCUCUACUCUGAUCAUCACUCUCUUCUCUAAAUCAACAACACCGAUUUCACUAGCUCACAAGGAAGAGGGGAGGAAUCGCCAUGAAAUUCGUUGCCAAAGAAUCUGAAAUUCUUUGUCUAUUCGCAGCUAACUCCUAUAAGUUUCAAUCUCUUGUAAGUUUCAGUCUUCUCUCUCUCAAACUAGUUAUCCAAUCUCAGUUGUUUCUGUCAAGACCCACCCUGAAUUUCACACUGAAACAUGAAGUAAAUUCUACGGGGACCACCUCUAAGGAAAGUUUACCGAAAAUUCGGCAUAACCUCUCUUGAAAAUGAACAACCCUUCCUAAUAAAACCUGCAUACACUUAUGAUAAACCAAAUCCAACCUUAAACUCCUGGAGCCUUCAUGCUCCCCCAAAUCACAACAUCUCCCAAUUAUUUACUAACUUUAAUAAGAAUAAUCCCACAACCAACAAUCACAGUUUAGAGCAAUUCUAAUUGAGAGGAAAUGAACUAGAAAUUUAGAAAUGAGCGGAAGCUAUACUAUUAACUAUGCCUCUUCUCCAUGUACGCCCGACCUCAACUAUGCUAACCUGCAAACUGGGCAUUUUUAAAACGAAGAGCCCAGGGGAAAACAUUUGAAACCGUUAAAGUGAGUGGACAAAGAUAAAUUAAUAAAUAAAAUAUUUAUGUUUCCCCAAAUCAAUUUCCAAGGAAAAAUCAAAUGUAUGCUGCAAGCGAUAAAACUUUAAUCUCGUAAAAUAUCGAGCCUCUCAGGCUCUAAAAUAUAUGUAUGUAUUUACACACGUCCAUACUCCCUAUAUAAAUUCAUGGGUCUAUAUAGGGCUACUACGCUCGCGUCCAAUGCUCACGUGACGUCUUAAUGCGGUGCUACACUACGCCAUUAAGGUGGACAGACGGGUGUAUAAAUAUGUGUCCAUACCCCCUAUAUGAAUUAAACACUCAUAUAGGGCUACUACGCUCACGUCCAACGCUCACGUCACACCAUAAUGCGGCUAUAUGCUACGCCAUUACGGUGGACAGACACAUAUGGCUAGCUAGCAUUUAUAUACAUACUCUCCUCAAUAUACAUAUUUAUACUCAACGAAAAAUCUCAUUUUUCGGUAACUCUCCAAAAGAAAUAAAAACGUCAAAAAUUAAAUGACGUCAAAACUCCAACAAUUUAAAUGUUCAACCAUGACCAUAGCAUGCAUAUUAUUUAAAACAAAAGUCCCCCCACAACUUUAGGCCUAAGUCUGACGUCGAUCCGAGGUCUCUUCUGCUUGAGCCUCCUCACGUCCUGUUUCCAAAUGUAAAAAUAAUUUCGCAACUAAAAAUCCAAAUAUUUAUACAAAAUAGGCAAAAUAAACAUGAGCUACUAUAUGAACUCCCUAUAUGAAAGCCUAAAUAAACCAAAUAAGAAAAUAGUUUUCAUAUAGGGCUACUACGCUUGUGUCUAACACUCACGUCACACCAUAAUGGUAUUUUACCUCAUUAUGGCGGAUCAAACACGUAUGGCUAGCUACCAUUUACAUAUACAUACUAUCAUCAUAAACAUCCAAUAAACAUAUCCACCGAAAAUCUCAUUUUCGGGAUCUCUCCAAAGGAGGAAAAUUGCCAAAUAUCCGAGAAAUAAAUAAAUUUCAGGAAAAGAAAUAAAUAAUCAACAGAUAAUUCAUCGCAUGCUUUUCAAUUAAAAUAAAGGUCCACUCACAAAUUAGGCCUAAGCCUGAUGACGCUCCGAGGUUUCCUCUGCUCGGGCCUCCUCUCGUCCUGUUCCAAAUAUAUAAUUAAUUUCCCACCAAAAAUCCAAUAAUUAAACAAAAUGGGCAAAAUUAAACGUGAGGCUCCUACACACUCAUCAUUGCCCAAAUUCGCCAUUCUUAACUCAAUACCGCUCAAACUUCGCAGAACAUACCGGCAGCCGUAAAAACAACUUCCCACAGAAUACGACUUAAAUCCUACGGCCGGAUUCUACAUUAAUUAACCGCCAAAAAUACCAAACUUCGGAAAUUCACAAACCUAUCCAAAACUCAUCCAAAAAUACCAUAACUCACUUCAAUAAACUCCCCUUAAUAUUCCAAAUCUAAAAAAACAUUAAAAUCUCCCAAACAACUCCGGUAGCGGCGGCCGGAGGCCGAUUCCGGCGACCUCCAAUUCUUAUGAAAUUUUAACAGCAUCUUCCUCUCAUCAUGCUCUACAACUUUCCUAACUAGCACAAACCCAAAAUCCAAGCCUAGCUAUGCCAAUCGAACAAAAACAUCAAAAACGCCCUAGAGCUUCCACCUCAAAUUUCUCCUUACCUGAAGCAAACCGGGGUGACUCCAUUUAGGGCAAGGCAGCUGGGUUAGAGACCUACAAAACCGUACCAAGCUUGCCCGGAUUGGUGGUCGGAGGAGGGAGAGGAGGUGAUGGGGGUCCGAACUGGGGUGGAGUGGUGGCUGGUGGCUAGUCGGACGGCGGCAGCUGGCAGCUGGAAAUUUCCGGCGAAGGGAGAGAGAGCACGGGAGGGAGAAGGAAGAGAAAAGAGAGAAGAAGAGAAAGAGAGGAAAUGGGUUGGGCCUCUCCAACCGGUCCAACUCCACUAAUAUACCUAACUCCCACAAAUAAAACACCCCGAAAAAUAAUACCCGAAAAAAAUUACCUUUUACUAGCUAAAAUUUACCCCUUUUACCGUCGCCAUAUUUUCGUCCUACGAGUAAUCCUCCGCACAUAAUCGUCCCCGUAACCCCUCUAGGGACCAAUUAAACUAUUAACUCAGUGACGGAGACGGUAAAAUUCUUAUUAAAAACAAGGUAGUAAAUAAGGUAAAAAUAUAAGAGUCGGGAUAUGAUAAUUCUCCCCUCCUUAUAAAAAUUUCGUCCUCGAAAUUUGCAUACCUGUCAUCCGAAGAGAUAGGGAUACUGCUGCAUCAUUUGCUGCUCUGAUUCCCAAGUAGCUUCUUCUACUUGAUGACUUCUCCAAAGCACCUUGACAAGUGAGAUUGUCUUAUUCCUAAGCACUUGCUCCUUUCGGUCGAGAAUCUGAACCGGUUCCUCUUCAUAUGUCAAAUCUCUCGUCAAACUGAUCGGCUGCUCUUGCAGCACAUGAGAAGGAUCGGCAAUAUACUUGCAAAGCAUGGAUACAUGAAACACAUUAUGUAUCCUAGCUAACUCUGGAGGCAAAAGUAGCCGAUAAGCAAGUGAGCCAACUCGCUCUAUGAUCACAUAAGGGCCAAUAUACCUCAGACUAAGCUUCCCACGCUUACCGAAACGCACAACCCCUUUCCAAGGAGAUAAUUUCAGGAACACCCAAUCACCCACUUGAAAUUCAAGAUCUCUCCUACGGACAUCUGCAUAACUCUUCUGCCUACUUUGAGCGGUCUUGAGUCUAUCUCUAACCACUUUAAUCUUCUCAUUCGUAACAUGGAUUAAUUCUGGGCCACAGAGCUCUUUUUCCCCCACUUCAUUUCAACACAAAGGCGUGCGACACAGCCUCCCAUAAAGACCCUCAAAGGGAGCCAUACCAAUGCUAGAAUGAAAGAUAUUAUUAUAGGCAAAUUCCAUCAAAGAUAGGUUUUUAUCCCAACUUCCUCUGAACUGCAAGACACAAGCCCUCAACAUAUCCUCCAACGUCAGAAUUGUCCUCUCGGACUGCCCAUCAGUCUGAGGAUGAAAAGCAGUGCUGAAGAGUAAUUGGGUACCUAAAGCUGCCUGAAGAGCUCCCCAGAAUUUAGAAGCAAAUCGAGGAUCCCGAUCUGACACUAUUGAUUCAGGAACACCAUGAAGCCUCACAAUUUCAUUCACAUAAAGCUCCGCCAAUUUAUCCAAUUUAUACUUCUUUCCCACUGGCAAGAAAUGUGCAGACUUGGUGAGUCGAUCCACAAUCACCCAAAUACCGUCAUGCCCUUUACGGGUACGAGGUAAACUGAAAACGAAAUCCAUGGUGAUGUGGUCCCACUUCCACACUGGAAUAGGCAACGGCUCAAGCAAUCCAGAAGGCUUCUGCCUUUCAGCUUUUACUUGCUGACAAACCAGACAUCUACUCACAUAAGCUGCAAUUUCCCUCUUCAUGUUUGGCCACCAAUAAUAAUUCUUCAAAAUCCGAUACAUUUUUGUGCUACCCGGAUGAGCAGCAUAUGCAGAGCUAUGAGCUUCCUCCAUAAUCUCAUUCUUCAACUCUUCAUUUCUUUUUGGAACUACAUUAGCCGAUUCUUAAACAUAGAGUCCCAUCUCUUCUAACUGAAAAAUGAUCGGCAGCGGCUCCAUUCGAAGCUCUUUCCAUUCAAUCAAACUAUGGAAGGAUCAUUAUACUGUGCUUCCCGCACUCUAUCAACCAAAACUGGCCUCACAUGAAAACUGGCUAUCAAAGCACCAACCUCAUCUACUGAUAAAUCCACUCCUGUAGCUUGCAACUCACAAAGAAGCGGAACACGAACCAUCUUUAUAUGAGAUAAAGAUAUAGAGGGAUUUCGACUAAGAGCAUCCGCUACCACAUUAGCUUUUCCAGGGUGAUACUCAAUAGUGCAAUCAUAAUCAUUGAUUAACUCCAUCCACCUUCUCUGUCCCAUAUUUAGCUCUCUUUGAGUGAAUACAUACCGAAGACUCUUGUGAUCGGUAAAUAUCUGACACUUGCCUCCAUAAAGAUAGUGUUUCCACAACUUGAGAGCAAAAACUACCGCUGCAAGCUCCAGAUCAUGAGUAGGAUAAUUCCCCUCAUGCGGCUUUAAUUGCCUAGAAGCGUAGGCAAUAACUCGUCCAUGCUGCAUCAAUACUCCACCUAGACCAUGUCUAGAAGCAUCACAAUAGAUCACAUACUCUCCACUAUCAUCCGGAAGUGCCAAAACAGGAGCACUUGUUAAGCAAUUCUUCAAUUCUUGGAAACUUUGCUCACAUUGAUCUGACCAUUCAAACUUAACCCUCUUCCUGGUCAAUCUUGUGAGAGGAGCAACAAUCUUUGAAAAAUCUUUCACAAAGCGCCGAUAAUAACCUACUAAUCCCAAGAAACUACGAAUCUCCAUCACAGUGGUGGGUCUUCUCCAAUUCGACACUGCUUUCACCUUUUGGGGAUCCCCACUAACUCCUUCUACCGAAAUCACAUGACCCAAAAACCCCUCUUUAUCUAGCCAAAACUCACACUUGCUAAACUUAGCAAAUAACUGCGACUUUUCCAAAGUCCGUAAUAUUAUUCUUAGAUGCUUGGCAUGCUCCUUCUCACUUCUUGAGUAAACCAAUAUGUCAUCUAUGAAUACGAUCACGAAACGAUCAAGAUAUGGACUAAACACCCUAUUCAUGAGAUCCAUGAACGCCACGGGUGCAUUAGUAAGUCCAAAUAGCAUCACCAUAAACUCAUAAUGACCAUAUCGUGACCGAAAAGCAGUCUUGGCUAUGUCCCCCUCUCGGAUCCGCAACUGAUGAUAACCCGAUCUCAAAUCAAUNNNNNNNNNNNNNNNNNNNNUUAGAGAAAACAGAGGCACCCGUCAACUGAUCAAAUAAAUCAUCGAUCCGAGGCAACGGAUAUUUAUUCUUCACUGUGACCUGAUUCAACUUCCUAUAAUCAAUGCAUAGUCUCAUGGUGCCGUCUUUCUUCUUAACAAACAACACCGGAGCACCCCAUGGAGACAUGCUAGGCCGAAUAAAACCCUUAUGUACCAACUUCUGCAAUUGAGUCUUCAACUCUUUCAAUUCCGCUGGAGCCAUUUUGUAAGGUGCCUGAGAGAUAGAUAUAGUUCCAGGAAGUAAUUCUAUAGAGAAGUCUAUCUCCCUUGCAGGAGGCAAACCAGGCAACUCCUCAGGAAAAACAUCCGGAAACUCCCUUACUACCGGAAUAUCUUCUAAUCCCACAACUCCCAUAAUUGUAUCCACGACAUGAGCUAAAUAUGCCUGACAGCCUUUACUCAACAAUUUCCUUGUAGCAACAGCGGAAAUUAUGCAACUAGAAAUAACAUCUCUUUCCCCUUGGAAAGCAACCUCAAAACCAUCUGGACUUCGAAGCACCACUACUUUUUGAAAACAAUCUACCAUAGCUCUAUAUGCUUCCAAAAAGUCCAUUCCCAAGAUCACAUCAAACUCCACUAUAUCUAAAGGAAUUAAAUCAGCCUCAAAAUUAACUCCUUCCACUAAAACUUCACAACCACUAAAUACCCAAUUUAUUCUCAUCACCUCACCGGAGGGUAGAGACACAUGCCACUCGCCUGGAAGAGACGAUGAUAGCACAUUGGCAUGGAGAGCGAAUCUACUAGACAUGAAUGAAUGCGUGGCUCCUGGAUCAAUUAAAGUAAAAGCAGGCUGACCGAAAAUUAAUAACGUACCAAUGAUGACAUCUGGAGAAGUACGACCCUCCUGCUGGGUCAUAGUAUGUAGUCUAGCGCGAGUCAUGGGACGUCUAUGCUGACCACCACCCCGCUGAGAGCCACCUCUGACCGAUGCACUGCCCUGGGCACCACUACUGGAGCCUCCAGCUGAAGACUGACCAACUGGCUGAGUAGGGGUGGGGGUGGUCCUCUGAGCCAACAAUGGGCAAUCUCUCCUGAAGUUGUCUUGACCACCACACUCAAAGCACCCAGAAAACUGCUGCUACCCAUAAGAAAAAGUCUAGCUACCGGAUGACCCACCAUGGAAAUUACCACCAGAACCAUACUGCCCAGACUGCUGCCUACCCAAAUGACUCCGAGAAGGUCUCCUGAAACAUCCUCUAGUCCUGUUUCGAGCACCAGAGCUCGAUCCCCCACUACUGCCACUACCAGCAGAAGACCCAGAAGCGGAUGAUGUAGCAGCCUUCUUAGAUGGACCUUGACUAGGGCCACCGUAAUCACGAGGCCGAACACCAUAUGUCCCCCUAAACUCAAUGGCCAUGGCUGCACCAACUGCAUCCUCAAAAGUCGGGUAAAUUACCCAUGUCAUCUUGUCCGCAUACACUCCACCAAGUACCCCAAUGAACAUCUCAAUCCUGGUCCUCUCAUCAGAAACCAGAUAUGACACAUGGUAGCUCAGGGAAGUGAAUCUUUCCUGAAACUCUAAGAUACCCUCAUCGUCCCUCUUUGACAUAUGCAGGAAAUCCGACUGAAUUCUGCUGCGGUGGGCAUGAUUGAAAUACUGCCCCAAGAAGAGAGUCUUAAACUACUCCCACGACAUAUUCAGCGCAUCCUCAACAUUCCUGUUGGCAAGUGACCACCAGUGAUGUGCUGAAUCAUCCAGAAAAGUCACUGCUAUCUUCACCUUUCUUUCUUCUGGCAGCUCAGUGCUCGCAAAAGCCUUUUCCAUCUUAUCCACCUAAUUGUGAGCAUCAAGAGGUCCCUUGGCACCCUUGAACUCUCUGGCUCCAGCAUAAAAAACUUCUCUCCUUUUCACAGUAGGAGGGCGUGGAGCUCGAUCCAUGACAUCCCUUAGCAUAUUUCCAAUAUCAUCAACCAGUCCCCUGACCUCAUUGCCCUCAUCGGCAUUGGUUGAAGUGGCCACACGGGGUUGCCGUGGGCGCCUAGGAGGCAUAGUACCUGAGAAAGAAGAAAUUUAGUAGUCCAUAAACAAGACUAACACAACAAUCACACAUACCCAAUAACACAUAGCAUCAAAAGCAUAAAAUGCCAAUGAAUCCGCCGCGGUCUGAUCAUCACUCUAUAGACACUACGUGCUACUUAGGCAAAUAUGAUAGUGACAAGGAAGCAGGAAAAGGAAACCUAAAGCUCUGAUACCAACUGACACGACCCACCCCAAAUUUCACCCUGAAACCCGAAGUCGUGCGGGGACCACCUCCAAGAAAAAUUUACUGAAAAGAUUGAUAAAAUCUCCCUUGAAAAUGGACAACCCUAACUCGAAAAUUCCAAAUUACACUCUUAAUACAACACGUCCAAACAUCACAUAAUUAACCUUCAGAAAUUCUAAACAUAAUAUACAAUAAUCUCAAAGUAUUCAGAGCUACUAGACACUAGCGGAAGCAAGAAAACACGAGUAGGUUAAACAUGUAAUCUACUGAUGAAAACUGGCGGAAAUCCGGGUGACUAUGCCUCGCCUCCUACUAGAUCCAACUCGAACUCUGCAGACUGGGCAAUUUAAAACGAAGAGCCCAAGGGAAAACAUGUGGAACAGUUAGAGUGAGUGGACAAAAACUAAAUUAAAUAAAAAUAUUUCUUUAUGCUUUCCCAAUUUAAUUUCCAAAUAAAAUAAUACUGCAUGCAAUCGCUCAAAAGCGCUCAACUCAAAAACUGACAACUUCACGACUAGCACCGGCUAGUCUCCAAAACUUAAUAAAAUACAGCCUCUCAGGCUAAAUUAUAUAUAAACAUAUAUAAGUGUAUGUAUUUACACUCGUCAGACUCCUUGUAUGAAUUCUAAGAACAAAUUAGAAAAAUAGAAAUUCAUACAAGGCUACUACGCUUGCGUCUAACGCUCACGUCACACCAUAAUGGAAUUGUACCUCAGUAUGGCGGAAAAAGCACGAGUGUAUAUACGUGUGGACUCCCUAUAUGAAAACCUAAAUAAACCAAAUAAGAAAAUAGUUUUCAUAUAGGGCUACUACGCUUGUGUCUAACACUCACGUCACACCAUAAUGGUAUUUUACCUCAUUAUGGCAGAUCAAACACGUAUGGCUAGCUAGCAUUUACAUAUACAUACUAUCAUCAUAAACAUCCAAUAAACAUAUCCACCGAAAAUCUCAUUUUCGGGAUCUUUCCAAAGGAGGAAAAUUGCCAAAUAUCCGAGAAAUAAAUAAAUCUCAUGAAAAGAAAUAAAUAAUCAACAUAUAAUUCAUCGCAUGCUUUUCAAUUAAAAUAGAGGUCCACUCACAAAUUAGGCCUAAGCCUGAUGACGCUCCGACGCUUCCUCUGCUCGGGCCUCCUCUCGUCCUGUUCCAAAUAUAUAAUUAAUUUCCCACCAAAAAUCCAAUAAUUAAACAAAAUGGGCAAAAUUAAACGUGAGCCUCCAACACACUCAUCAUUGCCCAAACCAAAUUCGUCAUUCUUAACUCAAUACAGCUCAAACUUCGGCGAACAUACCGGCAGCUGUAAAAACAACUUCCCACAGAAUACGACUUAAAUCCUACGGCCGGAUUCUACAUUAAUUAACCGCCAAAAAUACCAAACUUCGAAAAUUCAUAAACCUAUCCAAAACUCAUCCAAAAAUUCCAUAACUCACUUCAAUAAACUCCCCUUAAUAUUCCUAAUCUAAAAACAUUAAAAUCUCCCAAACAGCUCCGGUAGCGGCGGCCGGAGGCCGAUUCCGGCGACCUCCAAUUCCUAUGAAAUUUUAACAGCAUCUUCCUCUCAUCAUGCUCUACAACUUUCCUAACUAGCACAAACCCAAAAUCCAAGCCUAGCUAUGUCAAUCGAACAAAAACAUCAAAAACGCCCUAGAGCUUCCACCUCAAAUUGCUCCUUACCUGAAGCAAACCGGAGUGAGUCCUUUUAGGGCAAGGCAGCUGGGUUAGAGACCUACAAAACCGUACCAAGCUUGCCCGGAUUGGUGGCCGGAGGAGGGAUUUCCGACGAAAAGCUUCCCGGCGUUUCCGGUGCGUUUUCUCUUCUUCCGGCGGGCUAACGGCUCGGGGGCUAGGCCGGGGAGGGAGAGGAGGUGAUGGGGGUCCGAACUGGGGUGGAGUGGUGGCUGGUGGCUGGCCGAACGGCGGCAGCUGGCAGCUGGAAGUUUCCGGCGAAGGGAGAGAGAGCACGGGAGGGAGAAGGAAGAGAAAAGAGAGAAGAAGAGAAAGAGAGGAAAUGGGUUGGGCCUCUCCAACCGGUCCAACUCCACUAAUAUACCUAACUCCCACAAAUAAAACACCCCGAAAAAAAAUUACCUUUUACUAACUAAAAUUUACCAUUUUUACCGUCGCCAUAUUUUCCUCCUACGAAUAAUCCUCCGCCCAUAAUCGUCCCCGAAACCCCUCUAAGGACCAAUUAAACUAUUAACUCAAUGACGGAGAUGGUAAAAUUCUUAUUAUAAACAAGCUAGUAAAUAAGGUAAAAAUAUAAGAGUCGGGAUGUGACAGGAGCAGUCGGCGUUUCCGGUGGUUUUCUUCUCUCCGGCGGCGCUACCAGCUCGGACACUAGGCCGGGAAGAGAGAAGAGGUGGCAGGGCUCCAAACUGGGCUGGAGCGGCGGCCGGUUGCUGGCCGGAUGGCGGCAGGCGAUGGUCGGAAGUCGGACGGAGAGAUAAGCUCUGGGGGAGAGGGAGAGAGAAGAGAAAGAGGAGGAAAAAGAAGGAAGAAAAAAAAUGGGCCACUCCUCUAACCCAGUCCAACACCUUAAACAAAACCCCAACUCCCAAAAAUUAACACCUCAGAAUAAUACCCAAAUAAAAAUUACCUUUUACCAGCUAAAAUUUACUAUUUUUACCGUCGUCAAAUUUUUCUCUUACGAAUAGUUCCUCCGAAAUAAUCGUCCAUCAAAACCCCUCUAGGGACUAUUUAAACUAUAAACUCAUUGACAAAGACGGUAAAACUCUUAUUAUUACCAAGCUAGUAAAUAAGUUAAGAAUUUAAGGGUCGGGAUGUGACAGUUUUCCUAAUAAAAUUGGACUCUGAAUUGUAUCAUGAAUCUCAAAUUAGGGAACUUGAAUUGCUUGGGUGCAAGCUGGGACUUUGCUUUCGGAAUCAAACUGCUAUUGUUUGAUUUGGGUGCUUAUGUGUUUGGAGUUGCUUGCUUAUGCCGGUUGCUAUGACAUGAGGUAGGGAAAACAAACUUUUCUUUAUAGCUUUGAUUCUAGUUUCAUGUGUAUUUGGUGUGAUUGUGUUGGAAUGUCUUCUCUGCUAUUUUUCCUUGAUUGAAACUGUCAAGCAUACAUAGCUUGUCGAAUAGAAAUCUUGUUGAGUGUCAUUGUUACUCUGAUUCAAGGUAAUAUGUACCCUUGUCUUAUAUUUAAUAUUGAAAUGAUAGCCUUGAGUAUUUUGGCUGGUAUUCUUUGAAGAAGUUCACAUUGGACAAGGUCCUUCUCGUUCCCAACUCUCUUCUUAUUAUGUUAGUUGCAGCCGUGGCUUGUAUCUUGUUAUACCAUCUAAAGUGGUUUUAUCUGUGUCUACUUUGUCUUAUGUUACUGCUUUCUUGGCUUCUCCUUUGAGUCUAUUACUUAGUUUAGUCCUGCUCUCUGUUAAUGCUCAUGAACUCACUGUACAAAGCUGCUCAAGUUAGUGUCUUUACCCAUUGAUAUUUAUAUUCUUGAGGCCGAUACAAAUCUGAUUCUUGCCCUGUUCUUUAUAAUUUAAAAGGAAGUUUUUAUACAUGGUUUUACUUGAACCAAAAAUUC